rnacentral:lncRNA from 1 species
UAGGGGCUGGUUUAUCUCUUCCCAUAGCCCAUGAGACCUCUUGGGGCGUGACACCCCUCCCGAUGGUCCCCGGCACCCCUCCCGGCACUCCCGGUACACUACCGAUGAGCCCGAAACUUUUCCGGUAAUGCCCGGAAACUUUCCGGUAACCAAAUGAGGUCAUCCUAUAUAUCAAUCUUCGUCUCCGGACCAUUCCGGAAACCCUCGUGACGUCCGUGAUCCCAUCCGGGACUCCGAACAACAUUCGGUAACCAACCAUAUAACUCAAAUACGCAUAAAACAUCGUUGAACCUUAAGUGUGCAGACCCUGCGGGUUCGAGAACUAUGUAGACAUGACCCGAGAGACUCCUCGGUCAAUAUCCAAUAGCGGGACCUGGAUGCCCAUAUUGGAUCCUACAUAUUCUACGAAGAUCUUAUCGUUUGAACCUCAGUGCCAAGGAUUCGUAUAAUCCCGUAUGUCAUUCCCUUUGUCCUUCGGUAUGUUACUUGCCCGAGAUUCGAUCGUCAGUAUCCGCAUACCUAUUUCAAUCUCGUUUACCGGCAAGUCUCUUUACUCGUUCCGUAAUACAAGAUCCCGCAACUUACACUAAGUUACAUUGCUUGCAAGGCUUGUGUGUGAUGUUGUAUUACCGAGUGGGCCCCGAGAUACCUCUCCGUCACACGGAGUGACAAAUCCCAGUCUUGAUCCAUACUAACUCAACUAACACCUUCGGAGAUACCUGUAGAGCAUCUUUAUAGUCACCCAGUUACGUUGCGACGUUUGAUACACACAAAGCAUUCCUCCGGUGUCAGUGAGUUAUAUGAUCUCAUGGUCAUAGGAAUAAAUACUUGACACGCAGAAAACAGUAGCAACAAAAUGACACGAUCAACAUGCUACGUCUAUUAGUUUGGGUCUAGUCCAUCACGUGAUUCUCCUAAUGAUGUGAUCCCGUUAUCAAGUGACAACACUUGCCUAUGGCCAGGAAACCUUGACCAUCUUUGAUCAACGAGCUAGUCAACUAGAGGCUUACUAGGGACAGUGUUUUGUCUAUGUAUCCACACAAGUAUUGUGUUUCCAAUCAAUACAAUUAUAGCAUGGAUAAUAAACGAUUAUCAUGAACUAAGAAAUAUAAUAAUAACUAAUUUAUUAUUGCCUCUAGGGCAUAUUUCCAACAGUCUCCCACUUGCACUAGAGUCAAUAAUCUAGUUCACAUCACCAUGUGAUUCCAACGAAUCCAACACCCAUAUAGUUAUGGGGUCUGAUCACGUCUUGCUCGUGAGAGAGGUUUUAGUCAACGGUUCUGAAACUUUCAGAUCCGUGCGUUCUUUACAAAUCUUUAUGUCAUCUUAUAGAUGCUGCUACUACGUGCUAUUCGGAAAUACUCCAAAUAUCUACUCUACUAUACGAAUCCGUUUCACUACUCAUAGUUAUUCGGAUUAGUGUCAAAGCUUGCAUCGACGUAACCCUUUACGACGAACUCUUUAACCACCUCCAUAAUCGAGAAAAAUUCCUUAGUCCAUUAGUUACUAAGGAUAAAUUUCGACCGCUGCUAGUGAUUCAAUCAUGGAUCACUCUCUGUACCUCUCAACAUACUUUGAGUCAAGGCACACUUCAGGUGCGGUACACAGUAUGGCAUACUUUAGAUUCUACGGCUAAGGCAUAGAAGACGACCUUCGUCUAUUCUCUUUAUUCUGCCGUGGUCGGGUUUUGAGUCUUACUCAAAUUCACACCUCACAACGCAACCAAGAACUCCUUCUUUGCUGGUCUAUUUUGAACUCUUUCAAAAACUUGUCAAGGCAUGCAUCUUGUUGAAACUUCUAUUAAGCGCUUUCGAUCUAUCUCCAUAGAUCUUUGAUGCUCAACGUUCAAGUAGCGUAAUCCAGGUACUCCUUUGAAAACUUCUUUCAAACAACCUUGUAUGCUUUACAGAAAUUCUACAUUACUUCUGAUCCACAAUAUGUCAACCACAUAUACCUAUCAGAAAUUCUAUAGUGCUCCCACUCACUUCUUUGGAAAUACAAGUUUCUCAUAAACCUUGUACAAACCCAAAAUCUUUGAUCAUCUCAUCAAAGUGUAUAUUCUAACUCCGAGAUGCUUGCACCAGUCCAUUGAAGGAUCACUGGAGCUUGCAUACUUGUUAGUAUCUUUAGGAUCGUCAAAACCUUCUGGUUGUAUCACAUACAAUGUUUGCUCAAGGAAACCGUCGAGAAAACAAUGUUUUGACAUCCUACGUGCAAUAUUUCAUAAAUAAUGCAUCAACAACUAACAUAAUUCCAACAGACCUUUAGCAUCGCUACGAGUGAGAAAGUCUCAUCAUAGUCAACUGUUUGAUCUUGUCGAAAACAUCUUUGCGACAAGUCGAGCUUUUCUUAAUAGUGACUUAUCACCAUCAUCGUCUGUCUUCUUUUAAAGAUCCAUCUUUACUCAAUAGUCUUAUGACCAUCAAGUAGUUCUUUCAAAGUCUACACUUUGUUUUAUACAUGGAUCCUCUCUCGGAUUUCAUGGCUUCCAGCCAUUUGUCAGAAUCUGGGCCCACCAUCGCUUUCUCCAUAACUCGUAGGUUCACUGUUGCUCAACAACAUGACCUCCAAGACAGGGUUACCGUACCACUCUGUAGUAGUAUGCGACCUUGUCAACCUACGAGGCUUGUAGUAACUUGAUCCGAUGCUUGAUGAUCACCAUCAUCUGCUUCCACUUCAAUUGGUGUAGGCGCCACAGGAACAACUUCCUGCACCCUGCUACACACUGGUUGAAGUGAUGGUUCAAUAACCUCAUCAAGUUCUACUACCCUCCCACUCAAUUCUUUCGAGAGAAACCUUUCCUCGAGAAAGGAUCCGUUUCUAGAAACAAACACUUUGCUUUCGGAUCUGAGAUAGGAGAUGUACCCAACUGUUUUGGAUAUCCUAUGAAGAUGCAUUUAUCCGCUUUGGGUUCGAGCUUAUCAGACUGAAACUUUUUCACAUAAGUGUCGAAGCCCCAAACUUUCAAGAAACGACAGUUUAGAUUUCUCUAAACCUCAGUCUAUACUGUGUCAUCUCAACGGAAAUACGCGGUGCCCUAUUUAAAGUGAGUGCGGUUGUCUCUAAUGCAUAACCCAUAAACGAUAGUGGUAAUUCGAUAAGAGACAUCAUAGUAUGCACCAUACCAAAUAGUGCGUGGCUAUGACGUUCAGACACAUCAUCACACUAUGAUGUUCCAGGUGGCAUGAACUGCGAAACAAUUUCCACAUUGUCUUAACUGCGUACCAAAACUCAUAACUCAGAUAUUCAUUUCCAUGAUCAUAUCGUAGACAGUUUAUCCUCUUGUUACGACGAACUUCACUCUGAAACGGAAUUGAACUUUUCAACAUUUCAGACUUGUGAUUCAUUAAGUAAAUACUCCUGUAUCUACUCAAAUCGUCAGUGAAGUAAGAACAUAAUGAUAUCCACUACGUGCCUCAGCACCCAUUGGACUGCAUACAUCAAAAUGUAUCACUUUCAACAAGUUACUAUCUUAUUUCAUCUCAAUGAAAACAAGGCCUUGCUCAUGUGGUAUGAUUUGCAUGUCACUAGUGAUUCGAAAUCAGGUGAGUACAAAGAUCCAUCAGCAUGGAGCCUCUUCAUGCAAUUUAUACUAACAUGACUUAAGCGGCAGUGCCACAAGUAAGUGGUACUAUCAUCAUCAACUCGUAUCUUUUGGCACCAAUAUCAUGAACAUGUGUAACACUACGAUCGAGAUUCAAUAAACCAUUGAAGGUGAUUAUUCAAGAAAAUAGAGUAACCAUUAUUCUCUUUAAAUGAAUAAUCGUAUUGCAAUAAACACGAUCCAAUCAUGUUCAUGUUUAACGCAAGCACGAAAUAACAAUUAUUUAGGUUUAACACCAAUCCCGAUGAUAGAGGGAGCGUGCGACGUUUGAUCAUAUCAAUCUUGGAAACACUUCCAACACGUAUCGUCACCUCGCCUUUAGCUAGUCUCCGUUUAUGCCGUAGCUUUCAUUUCGCGUUACUAAUCACUUAGCAACUGAACCGGUAUCCAAUACCCUCGUGCUACUAGGAGUACUAGUAAAGUACACAUCAACAUCAUGUAUAUCAAAUACACUUCUUUCGACUUUUUCCAGCCAUCUUAUCUACCAAGUAUCUUGAGUUGCUCCGCCUCAGUGAUUGUUCCCCUCAUUACGGAAGCACUUAGUCUCGGGUUUGGGUUUAAUAUUGGGUCUCUUCAUUAGUGCAGCAACUGUUUUGCCGUUUCACGAAGUAUCCCUUCUAGCCCUUGCCUUUCUUGAAACUUAGUGGUUUUACAAACCAUCAACUAUUGACGCUCCUUCUUGAUUUCUACUUUCGCAGUGUCAAACAUCACGAAUCGCUCAAGGAUCAUUGUAUCUAUCCUCAAUAUGUUAUAGUUCAUCACGAAGCUCUCACAGCUUGGUGGCAGUGUCUUUUGGAGAACCAUCACCAUCUCAUCUAGAAGAUUAACUCCCACUUGAUUCAAGUGAUUGUCGUACUCAAACAAUCUGAGCACACGCUCAUCGAUUGAGCUUUUCUCUUUUACUUUGUGGACAAAGAAUCUUGUUGGAGGUCUCGUACCUCUUAACAAGGGCACAAGCAAGAAAUCACAAUUUCAUCUCUUUAGAACAUCACUUAUGUUCCGUGACGUUUUACAACGUUUUCGGCGCCUUGCUUCUAAGCCAUUAAGUAUCUUGCACUGAACUAUUGUGUAGUAAUCAGAAACGUGUAUGUCGGAUGUUCACAGCAUCCACAGACGACGCUCGAGGUGCAGCACACCGAGUGGUGCAUUAAGGACAUAAGCCUUCUGUGCAGCAACGAGGACAAUCCUCGGUUUUACAGACUCAGUCUGCAAAGUUUGCUACUAUCAACUUUCAACUAAAUUUUCUCUAGGAACAUAUAAAAACAGUAGAGCUAUAGCGCAAGCUACAUCGUAAUUCGCAAAUACCAUUAGACUAUGUUCAUGACAAUUAGUUCAAUUAAUCAUAUUACUUAAGAACUCCCACUCAAAAAGUACAUCUCUCUAGUCAUUUGAGUGGUACAUGAUCCAAAUCCACUAUCUCAAGUCCGAUCAUCACGUGAGUCGAGAAUAGUUUCAGUGGUAAGCAUCUCUAUGCUAAUCAUAUCAACUAUACAAUUCAUGCUCGACCUUUCGGUCUCAUGUGUUCUGAGGCCAUGUCUGCACAUGCUAGGCUCGUCAAGCUUAACCCGAGUGUUCCGCGUGCGCAACUGUUUUGCACCCGUUGUAUGUGAACGUUGAGUCUAUCACACCCGAUCAUCACGUGGUGUCUCGAAACGAAGAACUGUAGCAACGGUGCACAGUCGGGGAGAACACAAUUUCGUCUUGAAAUUUUAGUGAGAGAUCACCUCAUAAUGCUACCGUCGUUCUAAGCAAAAUAAGGUGCAGAAAAGGAUUAACAUCACAUGCAAUUCAUAAGUGACAUGAUAUGGCCAUCAUCACGUGCUUCUUGAUCUCCAUCACCAAAACACCGGCACGAUCUUCUUGUCACCGGCGUCACACCAUGAUUUCCAUCAUCAUGAUCUCCAUCAACGUGUCGCCAUCGGGGUUGUCGUGCUACUCAUGCUAUUACUACUAAAGCUACGUCCUAGCAAAAUAGUAAACGCAUCUGCAAGCACAAACGUUAGUUAUAAAGACAACCCUAUGGCUCCUGCCGGUUGCCGUACCAUCGACGUGCAAGUCGAUAUUUCUAUUACAACAUGAUCAUCUCAUACAUCCAAUAUAUCACAUCACAUCGUUGGCCAUAUCACAUCACAAGCAUACCCUGCAAAAACAAGUUAGACGUCCUCUAAUUUUGUUGUUGCAAGUUUUACGUGGUGACCGGGGGUAUCUAGUAGGAUCGCAUCUUACUUACGCAAACACCACAACGGAGAUAUAUGAGUUGCUAUUUAACCUCAUCCAAGGACCUCCUUGGUCAAACCCGAUUCAACUAAAGUUGGAGAAACCGUCACUUGCCAGUCAUCUUUGAGCAAAGGGGGUUACUCGUAACGAUGAAACCAGUCUCUCGUAAGCGUACGAGUAAUGUCGGUCCAAGCCGCUUCAAUCCAACAAUACCGCGGAAUCAAGAAAAGACUAAGGAGGGCAGCAAAACGCACAUCACCGCCCACAAAACCUUUUGUGUUCUACUCGAGAAGACAUCUACGCAUGAACCUAGCUCAUGAUGCCACUGUUGGGGAACGUCGCAUGGGAAACAAAAAUUUUCCUACGCGCACGAAGACCUAUCAUGGUGAUGUCCAUCUACGAGAGGGGAUGAGUGAUCUACGUACCCUUGUAGAUCGUACAGCAGAAGCGUUUAGAGAUCGCGGUUGAUGUAGUGGAACGUCCUCACGUCCCUCGAUCCGCCCCGCGAACAAUCCCGCGAUCAGUCCCACGAUCUAGUACCGAACGGACGGCACCUCCGCGUUCAGCACACGUACAGCUCGACGAUGAUCUCGGCCUUCUUGAUCCAGCAAGAGAGACGGAGAGGUAGAAGAGUUCUCCGGCAGCGUGACGGCGCUCCGGAGGUUGGUGAUGAUCUUGUCUCAGCAGGGCUCCGCCCGAGCUCCGCAGAAACGCGAUCUAGAGGAAAAACUAUGGAGGUAUGUGGUCGGGCAGCCGUGAGAAAGUCGUCUCAAAUCUGCCCUAAAAGCCCCAUAUAUAUAGGAGGAGGGAGGGGGACCUUGCCUUGGGGUCCAAGGGACCCCCAAGGGGUCGGCCGAGCCAGGGGGGAGGACUCUCCCCCCCCAAACCGAGUCCUACUUGGUUUGGUGGGAGGGAGUCCUUCCCCCUUCCCACUUCUUCCUUUUUUUUUCCUUUCCUUUGAUUUUUUCUCUCUUGGCGCAUAGGGGAUUGGUGGGCUGUCCCACCAGCCCACUAAGGGCUGGUGUGACCCCCCAAAUGCCUAUGGGCUUCGCCGGAGUGGGUUGCCCCCCUCCGGUGAACUCCCGGAACCCAUUCGUCAUUCCCGGUACAUUCCCGGUAACUCCGAAAACCUUCCGGUAAUCAAAUGAGGUCAUCCUAUAUAUCAAUUUUCGUUUCCGGACCAUUCCGGAAACCCUCGUGACGUCCGUGAUCUCAUCCGGGACUCCGAACAACAUUCGGUAACCAACCAUAUAACUCAAAUACGCAUAAAACAACGUCGAACCUUAAGUGUGCAGACCCUGCGGGUUCGAGAACUAUGUAGACAUGACCCGAGAGACUCCUCGGUCAAUAUCCAAUAGCGGGACCUGGAUGCCCAUAUUGGAUCCCACAUAUUCUACGAAGAUCUUAUCGUUUGAACCUCAGUGCCAAGGAUUCGUAUAAUCCCGUAUGUCAUUCCCUUUGUCCUUCGGUAUGUUACUUGCCCGAGAUUCGAUCGUCAGUAUCCGCAUACCUAUUUCAAUCUCGUUUACCGGCAAGUCUCUUUACUCGUUCCGUAAUACAAGAUCCCGCAACUUACACUAAGUUACAUUGCUUGCAAGGCUUGUGUGUGAUGUUGUAUUACCGAGUGGGCCCCGAGAUACCUCUCCGUCACACGGAGUGACAAAUCCCAGUCUUGAUCCAUACUAACUCAACUAACACCUUCGGAGAUACCUGUAGAGCAUCUUUAUAGUCACCCAGUUACGUUGCGACGUUUGAUACACACAAAGCAUUCCUCCGGUGUCAGUGAGUUAUAUGAUCUCAUGGUCAUAGGAAUAAAUACUUGACACGCAGAAAACAGUAGCAACAAAAUGACACGAUCAACAUGCUACGUCUAUUAGUUUGGGUCUAGUCCAUCACAUGAUUCUCCUAAUGAUGUGAUCCCGUUAUCAAGUGACAACACUUGCCUAUGGCCAGGAAACCUUGACCAUCUUUGAUCAACGAGCUAGUCAACUAGAGGCUUACUAGGGACAGUGUUUUGUCUAUGUAUCCACACAAGUAUUGUGUUUCCAAUCAAUACAAUUAUAGCAUGGAUAAUAAACGAUUAUCAUGAACUAAGAAAUAUAAUAAUAACUAAUUUAUUAUUGCCUCUAGGGCAUAUUUCCAACAAAUACAACAUCACACACAAGCCUUGCAAGCGAUGUGACUUAGUGUAUGUCACGGGAUCUUGUAUUGAGACUUGCCGGUAAACGAGAUUGAAAUAGGUAUGCGGAUACCAACGAUCGAAUCUCGGGCAAGUAACAUACCGAAGGACAAAGGGAAUGACAUACGGGAUUAUAUGAAUCCUUGGCACUGAGGUUCAACCGAUAGGAUCUUAGGAGAAUAUGUAGGAUCCAAUAUGGGCAUCCAGGUCCCGCUAUUGGAUAUUGACCGAGGAGUCUCUCGGGUCAUGUCUACAUAGUUCUUGAACCCGCAGGGUCUGUACACUUAAGGUUCAGCGAUGUUUUAUGCGUAUUUGAGUUAUAUGGUUGGUUAACGAAUGUUGUUCGGAGUCCCGGAUGGGAUCACGGACGUCAUGAGGGUUUCCGGAAUGGUCCGGAAACGAAGAUUGAUAUAUAGGUUUGUCUCAUUUGGUUACCGGAAGGUUUUCGGGCAUUACCGGCAUCGUACCGGGAGUGACGAAUGGGUUCCGGGAAUUUACCGGGAGGGGGGAACCCACCCGGGAGUGGCCCAAGGCCUUAGGGGUGACACACCAGCCCUUAGUGGGCUGGUAGGACAGCCAAGAGAGGCCCAUGGCGCCACCAAGGAAAAACCAAAGAGAAAAAAAGGGGAAGUGGGAAGGUGGAGAAGGACCCCACUUUCCAAUCCUAGUUGGACUAGGAUUGGAGGAGGAGGACUCCUCCCCUUGGUUCGGCCGACCCCUUGGGGCUGCCUUGAACCUCAAGGCAAGUCCCUCCCCCUCCCUCCUAUAUAUAUUGGGGUAUUAGGGCUGAUUUGAGACAACUUUGCCACGGCAGCCCGACCACAUACCUCCACGGUUUUUCCUCUAGAUCGUAUUUCUACGGAGCUCGGGCGGAGCCCUGCUGGGAUAGAUCACCACCAACCUCCGGAGCGCCGUCACGCUGCCGGAGAACUCAUCUACCUCUCCGUCUCUCUUGCUGGAUCAAGAAGGCCGAGAUCAUCGUCGCGCUGUACGUGUGCUGAACGCGGAGGUGCCGUCCGUUCGGCACUAGAUCGGGAAGGAUCAUGAUGAGAUCGCGGGACGGAUCACGAUGAAGUUCGCGGGAUGGAUCGUGAUGAGAUUUUGGGAUGGAGUGUACAACUACGGUGACUUGAAUCACGCAAGCUGUUCCACUACAUCGUCUGCGUUUCUUGACCCUUAGCGUUGUGCGAUCUACAAGGGUACGUAGAUCGGAAAUCUCCUCUCGUAGAUGAACAUCACCAUGAUAGGUAUUGCGUAUGCGUAGGAAAUUUUUUGUUUCCCAUGCGACGUUUCCCAACAGCAAGAAUUACCAAUCUAGUUGGCCAAACCAAACCAAUAACUCGAAGAGACUUGCUAAGAUAUGAAAUCAUGAAUAUAAUAAUUCAGAAGAGAUUCAAAUAAUAUUCGUAGAUAAUCUGAACAUAAACUCACAAUUCAUCGGAUCUCGACAAACACACCGAAAAUGAGUAUUACAUCGGAUAGAUCUCCAUGAAGAUCAUGAAGAACAUGGUAUUGAAGAUAAAAGAGUGAGAAGAAGCCAUCUAGCUAAUAGCUAUGGACUCGUAGGUCUGUGGUGAACUACUCACGCAUCAUCGGAGGGGCAAUGGAGUUGAUGUAGAUGCCCUCCCUGAUCAAUUCCUUCUCCGGCAGAUUACCGGAAAAGGCUCCCAGAUUGGAUCUCACGGGAACAGAGGCUCCCGGCGGCGGAAAAGUAUUUUCGUGGCUCUUUUUUGCAAUGGGGGAAUAUUUGGGAAUUUAUAGGCCGAAGAACAGGGUUAGGAGACCUGUAGGGGACCCACAAGCCAGGGGCGCGCCCCCCCCCUAGGGCACGCAGUGCACGCUUGUGCCCUCCCGGCAGGUGCCCUGCCCCCUACUCCAAGUCUUCUCGGUUUCUUCUGGUCCAAGAAAAAUCAUUCCCGAGAUUUAUUCCGUUUGGACUCCGAUUAAUAUUCCUUAUCUGCAAUACUCAAAAAACAUGGAAAAAACAGAAACUCGCACUAGGCUCUAGAUUGAUAGGUUAGUCCCAAAAAUAAUAUAAAACAACAUAUUAAUGCAUAAAAAACAUCCAAAAUAGAUAAUAUAAUAGCAUGGAACAAUAAAAAAUUAUAGAUACGUUGGAGACAUAUCAGUAUCUCCGAGAUGAGUCUCCCCUUCACCUGUAGGGUACUCAAGAUCCAAGUGCUCAAAUCCGUUGGUAACCUCAUCAACCCCGACAAUAACAUAGCCAUCUGGAAUCGGAGAGCAAUGGUAAGUUCCAUCAGGUCCACAAGGUAUGGAAUAGCCGAUCGCCACCUUCAAGAUUAUGUUAAUGCAUUUCGCAUGUAGUUCACAAUGUUCCCUCUCCCUAAUAUCAUCCACGGGGUAGAGAGGAGUCGUGAUAUCAGAACGAACGAGCUCUGUGGAAGCCACGCUGCUUUUCCGCUGAGAUGGUGGGGUAGCUCCGCGGGCAGUAUCGAAUGAAUGAUCUUUGUGCCACUGAGAUGAUGGAUCGGUAGCUCGCUGGCUGGUAAGAACCUCUAUUUUCAUCUCCUGCAAUGCUAAUCUUUCUUCUACCUUCUGCACCCGGUAUGCUUCCUCUUUCUUCUUUCUCCCUCGUCUUCUAUAAGUGGCACUGGUGACGGGAAUCCCAACCUUCCACAAAACGAAACCUGAUGUGCCUCGUGUUCGUCCAUGGUGUUCAACAUUCUUGAGGGCGCAUGACAGAUCGUCUUCUCUCUGUCGGGAUGGAAGUUCCCUUCCUGCACGACCUGGAUUGCAUCGUGAAUGUUUAUGACGGGUGUUGCAAGUUGAGCUUUCGUAUAAAAACACUUCCCUGUUUCUGGGUGCAAAGUUCCCCCACGCCCGAAGAACCAAGUCAUUGCCCGUUAGGGAUAGUUCAAUGUCUCUGGAUAGAUCCCUUUAUCAAGCAGGUCAUUCUCAUAUUUGUCCCAUAUCUCUGGAGAGAGUCACAUGCAAGGUUCUAUGAUUGUUGCCUAAACCAAACCAUAAGUUCCUUGCGUCAUGUGCAAACUACGGCCACUUUCUCUUGAUUUUUCUCCAUUGUGACCCAUUAGCGGGUACUCUCAACAUCCCGUCUUUCUUACGGUCUUAUUUGUGCCAUUGCAACAACUUGGCAUGCUCUUUGUUUCUGAACAGACAUUUCAACCGUGGUAUUAUAGGAGCAUACCAAGUCACUUUGGCAGGAACCCUCUUCAUGGGGCGGUAGCCAUCAACAUCACUAGGGUCAUCUCGUAUGAUCUUAUACCGCAAUACACCGCAUACCGGGCAUGCAUUAAAAUUGUCGUACUCCUCACCGUGGUAGAGGAUGCAAUCAUUAGGGCAUGCAUCUAUCUUCUGCACCUCUAAUCCUAGGGGAUAGAGAACCUUCUUUGCUUCAUACGUACUGUUAGGCAAUUCUUUAUCCUUUGUAAGCUUCUUCUUCAUUAUUUUCAGUAGCUUCUGAAUUCCCUUGUGAGAUACACCAUUCUCUACCUUCCAUUGCAGCAAUUCCAGUGUGGUACCGAGCUUUGUGUUGCCAUCUUGGCAAUUUGGAUGCCCUUUUUUCUGAUCCUCUAACAUGGCAUCGGACUUCAGUUUCUCCCUUUCACUUUCGUAUUCUCUCUAUGCAUCAACAAUGAGCCGCGGGAAGAUUAUCAUCAGAUGGCACAUAUGGUGCCUCUUGAUCUUCAGCUUCCUCCGUUGCAGUAUCACCGUAUUCAGGGAACAUAGGAUCCGAAUAGUUUUCAUCAUCCUCUUCUUCUUCAUUGACUUCCAUCAUAACCCCUAUUUCUCCAUGCUUGAUCCAACAAUUAUAGUGGGGCAUGAAACUCUUCUCAAGCAGGUGGAAGUGAAUGGUUUUCGAGAAAGAGUAAUCCUUCGUAUUCUUACAAACAACACAUGUAUAGUACAUAAAACCAUUCUCCUUGUUUGCCUCAGCCACAUCGAGAAAAUUAUGCAGACCCGUUAUUUACUCGGAACUGUGUCGGUUACCAUACAUCCAUUGCCGGUUCCUGUCCAUUAUGCAAUUAAGUAUAUCAACAACCAUUACAGAACAUCAUGAAUAUAGAAAUGACCAAAUUAAUACAAGUUCAUCAUCACAUUAAAACCAAAGUACAUUAGUGGGCAAAUGUUAUUACUGCAAACAUAAAUACAUAAAAUUCAAACAUAGUUCUCAUAAAACAACAUACAACUAUGUAAAACAUUUAUAUGCAACAAAAAAAUAUGAUCAAAAUCACAACUAAGGUAACAAUUGAUUCAACAACAUAAUGAUACCAAGCCUCUUUAUCAAUGUCAUAUUUUCUAAUCUUUCUAAUUUUCAAACGCGUUGCAUCCAUCUGGAUCUUGUGUAGAUCGACAACAUCGACAACAUGCAACACCAAUUUCAUCUUCUCUUCUUCAACUAUUUUUCGUUUUUCCUUCAAAUAAUUGUUUUCUUUUUCAACUAAAUUUAACCUCUCGACAAGAGGGUCGGUUGGAAUUUCUUGUUCACAUACUCUAGAUUAGAUAGACAUCUAUGUCAAGUUGGUCGGCAUAAUUGUCAUAAACACUGAAUGAAAGAAAUUGUUAUAAAAGAUAAUAUACCACGUCCGGAUCAUAGACCGGACGAGAGCCGACGGGGGUGGAUACCAAAACCAUGACACUAUAUAAUAAAAAAUCAAUAGUACAAGUAAGAAAUUUUUACAAGAAGCUAUCUAAAUCAUACAAGUAAGAAUAUUUUUCUUUUAGAAAAAGAUAAGAAUAAUAGGCUUACCACGGUAGUGCCGGCGACAAGAUCGGCGUGGACGAUCGACGAUGGUGAGAACGGGGACGGGACGACACCCUACACAUGUGCAAACUAAGAAGUUAAUUUGAGCUCACAUUAUGCAUCUAAAUCAAAUAAACUCCCACAGACACUCCUCCACCAAAACCCACAAACCAAUCUACUUCUACAACAUAUGAAAUGAGCUAAACUAACAUUGAGAGAUGAAUGGAUGAAAUUUCUAACCUUUUAGAACACUUAGAUAGUUGGUGCACCUCAAAUCUAAAGAAAUAUUGGGGAAAAUGGAGCUUGGAGGAAGAACGGAGAAGAAAGCUUACGUGUGGCUCGGGCAUUUCACCGAUGACCUCAUGCGCAUAGGAAGACAGAACAGAGUAGCACACUCACCUCCCACCUUCUACGGCCAAAAAUACACAAGAGAGGGGCGCAGGGGUGAGGAUAUAUAUAAACAUAUUAUUAGUCCCGAUUGGUGUCUAAAACUGGGACUGAAGACAAACCUUUAGUCCCGGUUGUAGACACCAACUAGGACUAAAGGGGUUGCGCCAGGAGCGAAGCCCUUUAGUCGCGGUCGGUGUCUAAAACCGGGACUAACGGUCCCAGUUGAAUCGAACUAAUGCCUGUGGAGGCCCGACCGGCAUCCUAGUCGCUUGAACCGGGAAUGAUGCUCACAUUAGUUCCGGCUCGUAACGAGAUCGCGACUAGUGCUUUGAUCUGCCACAACCAAAGCCAUGUUUUUUUACUAGUGAUGCUAAAAAUAAAUUUUACAUAUGUUUAAUUUUUUGGAAAAAAAGAUGUGUUCAACGUCCUAGCCAAAGGGUACAUGCAAAUUUGCUAGUGAAAAAUAUAAGCAUUUUGACCUGCCGACAAAGCACUACUAUCCCAUAUGGUAUAAAAAUAAUCAAACACAUUUGCCACACUAAUACGAACAUAUAUAAAAAAAUUCUAGAUUUCUAAAUUUUAUUUACUAUUUAUUUUUUACUUUACUAUUUAUUCGGAAGCAUAUGCUUCCAGAGCCAAAAAUCCGCGUCCAGAUUCUUGCCACGUUAACACACACUAGUGGAAAACGGGCCUUUGGCCUGGACCCUUUAGUUCCAGCCUCCCUCUGGGCCGGGACUAAAGGCCCGGCCACGUCGCCCCAAAUCGCAAUGCCGCCCACGAGGCUUUGUGUUGAGGAACGUCGCUAGGGAAACAAAAAUUUUCCUACGCGCACGAAGACCUAUCAUGGUGAUGUCCAUCUACGAGAGGGGAUGAGUGAUCUACGUACCCUUGUAGAUCGUACAGCAGAAGCGUUUAGAGAACGCGGUUGAUGCAGUGGAACGUCCUCACGUCCCUCGAUCCGCCCCGCGAACAAUCCCGCGAUCAGUCCCACGAUCUAGUACCGAACGGACGGCACCUCCGCGUUCAGCACACGUACAGCUCGACGAUGAUCUCGGCCUUCUUGAUCCAGCAAGAGAGACGGAGAGGUAGAAGAGUUCUCCGGCAGCGUGACGGCGCUCCGGAGGUUGGUGAUGAUCUUGUCUCAGCAGGGCUCCGCCCGAGCUCCGCAAAAACACGAUCUAGAGGAAAAACUAUGGAGGUAUGUGGUCGGGCAGCCGUGAGAAAGUCGUCUCAAAUCUGCCCUAAAAGCCCCAUAUAUAUAGGAGGAGGGAGGGGGACCUUGCCUUGGGGUCCAAGGGACUCCCAAGGGGUCGGCCGAGCCAAGGGGGGGAGGACUCCCCCCCCCCAAACCGAGUUGGACUUGGUUUGGUGGGAGGAGUCCCCCUCCCUUCCCACUUCUUCCCUCUUUUUUUUCUUUUCCUUUGAUUUUCUUUCUCUUGGCGCAUAGGCCCCUUUGGGGCUGUCCCACCAGCCCACUAAGGGCUGGUGUGUCUCCCCAAAGACUAUGGGCUUCCCCGGGGUGGGUUGCCCCCCCCCCGGUGAACUCCCGGAACCCAUUCGUCAUUCCCGGUACAUUCCCGGUAACUCCGAAAACCUUCCGGUAAUCAAAUGAGGUCAUCCUAUAUAUCAAUCUUCGUUUCCGGACCAUUCCGGAAACCCUCGUGACGUCCGUGAUCUCAUCCGGGACUCCGAACAACAUUCGGUAACCAACCAUAUAACUCAAAUACGCAUAAAACAACGUCGAACCUUAAGUGUGCAGACCCUGCGGGUUCGAGAACUAUGUAGACAUGACCCGAGAGACUCCUCGGUCAAUAUCCAAUAGCGGGACCUGGAUGCCCAUAUUGGAUCCUACAUAUUCUACGAAGAUCUUAUCGUUUGAACCUCAGUGCCAAGGAUUCGUAUAAUCCCGUAUGUCAUUCCCUUUGUCCUUCGGUAUGUUACUUGCCCGAGAUUCGAUCGUCAGUAUCCGCAUACCUAUUUCAAUCUCGUUUACCGGCAAGUCUCUUUACUCGUUCCGUAAUACAAGAUCCCGCAACUUACACUAAGUUACAUUGCUUGCAAGGCUUGUGUGUGAUGUUGUAUUACCGAGUGGGCCCCGAGAUACCUCUCCGUCACACGGAGUGACAAAUCCCAGUCUUGAUCCAUACUAACUCAACUAACACCUUCGGAGAUACCUGUAGAGCAUCUUUAUAGUCACCCAGUUACGUUGCGACGUUUGAUACACACAAAGCAUUCCUCCGGUGUCAGUGAGUUAUAUGAUCUCAUGGUCAUAGGAAUAAAUACUUGACACGCAGAAAACAGUAGCAACAAAAUGACACGAUCAACAUGCUACGUCUAUUAGUUUGGGUCUAGUCCAUCACGUGAUUCUCCUAAUGACGUGAUCCAGUUAUCAAGCAACAACACCUUGUUCAUAAUCAGAAGACACUGACUAUCAUUGAUCAACUGGCUAGCCAACUAGAGGCAUGCUAGGGACGGUGUUUUGUCUAUGUAUCCACACAUGUAAAUGAGUCUUCAUUCAAUACAAUUAUAGCAUGGAUAAUAAACUAUUAUCUUGAUACAGGAAUUAUAAUAAUAACUAUACAUUUAUUAUUGCCUCUAGGGCAUAAUUCCAACAGUCUCCCACUUGCACUAGAGUCAAUAAUCUAGCCCUCACAUCACCAUGUGAAUUACAUUGUAAUAAAUCUAACACCCAUACAGUUCUGGUGUCGAUCAUGUUUUGGCCGUGGAAGAGGUUUAGUCUGCGGGUCUGCUACAUUCAGAUCCGUGUGCACUUUGCAUAUAUUUACGUCCUCCUCCUCGACGUAGUCGCGGAUGAGGUUGAAGCGUCGUUUGAUGUGUCUGGUCUUCUUGUGAGACCUUGGUUCCUUUGCUAAGGCAAUGGCACCAGUGUUGUCACAGAACAAGGUUAUUGGAUCCAGUGCACUUGGCACCACUCCAAGAUCCGUCUUGAACUGCUUCAUCCAGACACCCUCCUUAGCCGCCUCCGAUGCAGCCAUGUACUCCGCUUCACAUGAAGAAUCUGCUACGACGCUUUGCUUGGAACUGCACCAGCUUACUGCACCCCCUUUAAGAAUAAAUACGUAUCCGGUUUGCGACUUAGAGUCGUCCGGAUCAGUGUCAAAGCUUGCAUCGACGUAACCUUUUACGGCGAGCUCUUCGUCACCUUCAUACACGAGAAACAUCUCCUUAGUCCUUUUCAGGUACUUUAGGAUAUUCUUGACCGCCGUCCAGUGAUCCACUCCUGGAUUACUCUGGAACCUACCUGCCAUACUUAUGGCCAGGCUAACAUCCGGUCUAGUGCACAACAUCGCAUACAUGAUAGAACCUAUGGCCGAAGCAUAGGGGACGGAGCGCAUAUGCUCUCUAUCUUCAUCAGUUGCUGGGCACUGAGUCUUACUCAAUCUCGUACCUUGUAAUACUGGCAAGAACCCAUUCUUGGACUGUUCCAUUUUGAACCUCUUCAAAACUUUAUCAAGGUAUGUGCUUUGUGAAAGUCCUAUCAGGCGUUUCGAUCUAUCCUUAUAGAUCUUAAUGCCUAGUAUGUAAGCAGCUUCUCCUAGGUCCUUCAUAGAGAAACUUUUAUUCAAGUAACCUUUGAUGCUCUCCAAAAACUCUACGUUGUUUCCAAUCAGUAAUAUGUCAUCCACAUAUAAUAUUAGAAACGCCACAGAGCUCCCACUCACUUUCUUGUAAAUACAAGAUUCUCCAACCACUUGUAUAAACCCAAAUGCUUUGAUCACCUCAUCAAAGCGUUUGUUCCAACUCCGAGAUGCUUGCACCAGUCCAUAAAUGGAUCGCUGGAGCUUGCACACCUUGUCAGCAUUUUUAGGAUCGACAAAACCUUCGGGUUGCAUCAUAUACAACUCUUCCUUAAGGAAACCAUUAAGGAAUGCCGUUUUGACAUCCAUCUGCCAGAUUUCAUAAUCGAAAAAUGCAGCUAUUGCUAACAUGAUUCUGACGGACUUAAGCAUCGCUACGGGUGAGAAGGUCUCAUCGUAGUCAACUCCCGGAACUUGUGAAAAAACCCUUUGCCACAAGUCGAGCUUUAUAAACGGUCACAUUACCGUCAGCGUCCGUCUUCUUCUUAAAGAUCCAUUUGUUCUGAAUAGCCUUGCGGCCUUCAGGUAGUAUCUCCAAAGUCCACACUUUGUUCUCAUACAUGGAUCCUAUCUCGGAUUUCAUCGCUUCUAGCCAUUUGUUGGAAUCUAGGCCCACCAUUGCCUCUUCAUAAUUCGCAGGUUCAUUGUUGUCUAACAACAUGAUCGAUAAGACGGGAUUACCGUACCACUCUCGAGCAGCACGUGAUCUCGUCGACCUGCGUGGUUCAACAGAAACUUGAACUGGAGUUUCAUGAUCAUCAUCAUUAACUUCCUCCUCAACCGGCGUCGCAACGACAGAGGUCUCCCCUUGCCCUGCGCCACCAUCCAGAGGGAUGAGAGGUUCGACAACCUCGUCAAGUUCUAUUUGCCUCCCACUCAAUUCUCUCGAGAGAAACUCCUUCUCGAGAAAAGUUCCGUUCUUAGCAACAAACACUUUGCCCUCGGAUUUGAGAUAGAAGGUGUACCCAACCGUCUCUUUUGGGUAACCUAUGAAGACGCACCUUUCCGCUUUGGGUUCCAGCUUUUCAGGCUGAAGCUUUUUGACAUAAGCAUCACAUCCCCAAACUUUAAGGAACGACAACUUUGGCCUUUUGCCAUACCACAGUUCGUAUGGUGUCGUCUCAACGGAUUUUGAUGGUGCCCUNAACGACAACUUUGGCCUUUUGCCAUACCACAGUUCGUAUGGUGUCGUCUCAACGGAUUUUGAUGGUGCCCUAUUUAAAGUGAAUGCAGCUGUUUCUAAUGCAUAACCCCAAAAAGAUAACGGCAAAUCAGUAAGAGACAUCAUAGAUCGCACCAUCUCUAACAAAGUACGAUUAUGACGUUCGGACACACCAUUACGCUGUGGUGUUCCAGGCGGUGUUAACUGCGAAACAAUUCCACAUUGUUUUAAGUGAGUACCAAACUCGAAACUCAGAUAUUCACCCCCAUGAUCAGACCGUAGGAACUUGAUCUUCUUGUUACGAUGAUUUUCUACUUCACUCUGAAAUUGCUUGAACUUUUCAAAUGUUUCAGACUUGUGCUUCAUCAAGUAGACAUAACCAUAUCUACUUAAAUCGUCAGUGAAGGUGAGAAAAUAACGAUAUCCGCCGCGUGCCUCCACGCUCAUUGGACCACACACAUCGGUAUGUAUGAUUUCCAACAAGUCACUUGCACGCUCCAUUGUUCCGGAGAACGGAGUUUUAGUCAUCUUGCCCAUGAGGCAUGGUUCGCACGUGUCAAGUGAAUCAAAGUCAAGUGACUCCAAAAGUCCAUCAGCAUGGAGUUUCUUCAUGCGCUUUACACCAAUAUGACCCAAGCGGCAGUGCCACAAAAACAUGGCGCUAUCAUUGUUUACUCUAACUCUUUUGGUCUCAAUGUUAUGUAUAUGCGUAUCGCUAUCGAGAUUCAAUAUGAACAAUCCUCUCACAUUCGGUGCAUGACCAUAAAAGAUAUUACUCAUAGAAAUAGAACAACCAUUAUUCUCAGACUUAAAAGAGUAACCGUCUCGCAAUAAACAAGAUCCAGAUAUAAUGUUCAUGCUCAACGUAGGCACUAAAUAACAAUGAUUUAAGUUCAUCACUAAUCCCAAUGGUAGUUGAAGUGACACGGUGCCGACGGCGAUUGCAUCAACCUUGGAACCGUUUCCUACGCGCAUCGUCACUUCGUCUUUUGCCAGCCUCCGUCUAUUCCGCAGUUCCUGUUUCGAGUUGCAAAUGUGAGCAACAGAACCGGUAUCGAAUACCCAGGCACUACUACGAGAGCCGGUUAAGUACACAUCAAUAACAUGUAUAUCAAAUAUACCUGAUUUUUCUUUGCCCGCCUUCUUAUCUGCCAGAUACUUGGGGCAAUUGCGCUUCCAGUGACCCAUACCCUUGCAAUAGAAGCACUCUGUUUCAGGCUUAGGUCCAGCCUUGGGUUUCUUCGGCGGAUUGGCAACAGGCUUGCCGCUCUUCUUCNNNNNNNNNNNNNNNNNNNNNNNNNNNNNNNNNNNNNNNNNNNNNNNNNNNNNNNNNNNNNNNNNNNNNNNNNNNNNNNNNNNNNNNNNNNNNNNNNNNNAUGAGAAAAUGCUCCAUCAAUGAUGAUCAUCACACUUUCAACUCAAAACUUAGAGCAACGAUGACUCUAUAUGGAAUGCCUUGGGUAGUGUACCGUGACAAUGAUCUAGCAUGGCAUAGACAUUAAAGGAAACAUCAUGCUAGCUAUCUUACAAUCAUGCAAUGGCAAUGUAGAUGUGGUGUCACAUGUCAUGGUGGUAGUUGCAAGGCAAUAUAUCUCGGAAUGACUUUGAAAAAGCCAUAGUAGGUAGGUAUGGUGGCUGUUUUGAGGGAGGCUAAUGGUGGGUUUUGUGCACCGGCGAAAGUUGCACGACACUAAGAAGAUAGUGAUGGUGGUAAGUGAAAGUGCAUCUAAACCAUGGACUCAACAUUAUUCAUGAAGAACUCAUAUACUUGUUGCAAAAGUUUUAUUAGUAAUCGAAACAAAGCAUUCAACGCAUACUCCUAGGGGAAGGGUUGGUAGGUAUAAACCAUCGCGCGACCCGACCGCCACGCAAAGGAUGAUAAUCAAUAUACUAAUCAUGCUCAUAUUUCAUCACAUAGCGGUUCACCAUAUGUGCAUGCUACGGGAAUCACUAACUUCAACACAAGUAUUUCUAGAUCCACAACACCUUACUAGCAUGACUUCAAUAUUACCAUAACCACAACUCAAAACUAAUUGAGAUGAAUCAAACUUCUCUAACUAUUCAAUGCACAUGAAGGUGUAAGUUUUCAUAUCCCUUUGGAUAACUACCCCUUUUGAGACUACUUUCAAAGCAUAGAUCAACUAGCAACCCACGCACUUCUGCGCUCUAAAAGAUAUAAGCGAAGCACACAGAGCAAAAAUAUCUAGCUCAAAAGAUAUAAGUGAAGCACAUGUGAGCUGAAUUGUCUACCAAAAGAUAUAAGUGAAGCUCGACAAAAUCAUGGUGUGUGCAUGUCUCUCUCUCUAGGUGUGCAGAAAGGAUGAUUGUGACACAACAAAGAUAAAAGACUCCUACGACCCAAGACGCUCCAAGCAAAAACACAUAACAUGUGGUGAAUAAAAAUAUAGCCCCAAGUAACGUUACCAAUGGAUUGAAGACGAGAGAGGGGAUGCCUUCCUGGGGCAUCCCCAAGCUUAGGCUUUUUGGCAUCCUUGAAUCAAAUUGGGGUGCCUUGGGCAUCUCCAAGCUUGAGCUCUUGCCACUCUUUAUCUCUUUGUCCAUAAGAACUUCACCCAGAACUUGAAAACUUCACGACACAAAACUUAAACAGAAACUCGUGAUAUCAUUAGUAUAAGAAAGCAAAUCACCACUUCUUUAAGUACUGUAGCAAACUUAAAUUCUACUUAUGUUGGUGUUGGGUUUCUGUAUUUUUACUUUUCCAUGGCUAGUACCCUCCGAUACUAUCCAUAAUUUCAUCAAAAUAAGCAACCAACUCAACAAAAACAGAAUCUGUUAACAGCAGACCAGUCUGUAGCAAUCUGUAUACUUUGUAUACUUCUGGUGCUUCAAAAAAUCUGAACAAUUACGACAGUCUGAAGAAAUUGCGUAGAAAUAAGAAGCAAAAAGAAUCUACUCAAAAGCUCUUACAGAAUAAAAACGAAAAUUAUUUUCGUGAGCAGAAAGUUUGUGUCUUUUCCAGCAUNNNNNNNNNNNNNNNNNNNNNNNNNNNNNNNNNNNNNNNNNNNNNNNNNNNNNNNNNNNNNNNNNNNNNNNNNNNNNNNNNNNNNNNNNNNNNNNNNNNNUUUUAGAAUAAGUAGAAAUAAAGAGGAAGAGGUUUAAGCGUGGCUCGAGCAUCUCAUAUCGUAGUUGUGUUCGGUGAACUGAAGCGGCAUCGCUCUAACACACAUUUCAACAAACACCUCUAGUGCAUCAAAAAAAUGGAGAGCUAGCACACACCCACACUCUUCCAUCCAAAAAAAAUGCAAGGAAGAGGGGAGAGGGGGGUUGUGCUAUAUAUAGGCAGAAGACUUUAGUCCUGGUUUGAGACACAAACCGGGACUAAAGGUGGCGCACAUGCGGGCUGCACACCGCGUAGCCCUUUAGUCCCGGUUUGAGACACAAACCGGGACUAAAGGCUCCUUACGGGACGGGACCAAAGUGUUGGAAUUAUGCCCUAGAGGCAAUAAUAAAUGUAUAGUUAUUAUUAUAAUUCCUGUAUCAAGAUAAUAGUUUAUUAUCCAUGCUAUAAUUGUAUUGAAUGAAGACUCAUUUACAUGUGUGGAUACAUAGACAAAACACCGUCCCUAGCAUGCCUCUAGUUGGCUGGCCAGUUGAUCGAUGAUAGUCAGUGUCUUCUGAAUAUGAACAAGGUGUUGUUGCUUGAUAACUGGAUCACGUCAUUAGGAGAAUCACGUGAUGGACUAGACCCAAACUAAUAGACGUAGCAUGUNNNNNNNNNNNNNNNNNNNNNNNNNNNNNNNNNNNNNNNNNNNNNNNNNNNNNNNNNNNNNNNNNNNNNNNNNNNNNNNNNNNNNNNNNNNNNNNNNNNNGGAGGGUGGGUGGGAAGGGCGUCGCCGCCGCAGUUCACCGCGUCGCCGCCCGCGAUCCGCGGGGAUUCAGGUGGGGUUGUGUCUACCCGGUACGUUUCAAUGCAGCACACAAAAUGCUGCGAGGUGUGUCGGUGCGGGGAUGCUCAGGUGGGACGUUGGCCGGACUGAAUCCGCGACGGGGGCACGGCGCAUCGGACGGUUCUCCAGGAGGCUUACGUCUGGUACAAAUCAGCCGACAGAUUUGUAGCAGCCACCAAUUUUGUUUGGUUGAGAACUAACGAUGUUCUUUUUUCUUUUCCUUUUUGCGAAAAGGGAACUAACGUUCUUGUAUCUGCCAUCCCGGAAAGAGAUAUGUUCAGUUUUGUUUGACAAACUUGCUUCGGUGACCUUGAUCCUAUUCCCCGCGUAGGGCUGGGAGCACGGAGCAAAUGCGUACCUGGCAAAGCACGCUGCUGCUACUUUUGACCCGUUUUUUCCUUUCUCUUUUUGAUAUUUUGGUUCGUUAUAAAUAUUAUUUGUCCUUUUAGUUUUUGGUUUAUUAUUUUUAAAAAUUCAUAAAAUAUUUCAAAAGUUUAGAACAUUUAAUAAUUGUGGAGAUAAUUUUAUAUUUUUGAAUAUUUUGAGAAUGCUUUACAAAUUCUUAAAUAGCUUUUCAGUUUUCGAACUUUUUAAAAUAUGAGAAUGUUUUUACAAUUCAUAUUUUUUAAAUCUGAGGAAAAAUUACAAUUCUUAUUUUUCAAAAACAAUAUGUAGGGAAUAUUUUCAAAGUUCGUGAACCUCUUUUGAUAUCUAAAAACUAAAUUCAUGAACAUAUUUUUAAAUAUGGAAUAUUUUGUGAUAUUUAGAAAUAUUAUUACAAAUUUUGAACAUUUUUUAAAUCCAGGAACAUUUUCAAAAACUAAUCCUAUUUUUAAAAUUCAAAACAAUUUUAGAAAUCCCAUAUUGAAUUUUGAAUGUGUGAAAAAAUUUCAGAGUUAAAAAGUAAAAUAAAUAAUAAAAGAAAAUAAACCACAAAGAAAGGAAAAAAGAUAGGACCGCCCCGCCCAACAUAUGGGUCAACCCAAUGUGGUCGGGGAGGGUGCGUGGUUGUGUGUUAACUGCCCCGUACUACUCAGCGCCUCAAGUGUUAGUUUGCUCAGCGACGCUUGUGUUCGGCUACAGUGGGCUGUGGCCCAAUAGCGAGUGAAUUGCUCGGUCGCUCGAUGUUGCCAGUUUGACAGAAAUGUUAGUAGAUUCGAAAAUUGUGAACAUUUUCUUAAAACAUUUUUCUCAUUUGUGAAGAAAUUCAGAAUAUAUUUUUAAAUCAUGGGAAAAAAUUGUGAACAUUUUCUGAAAUUUCAGAACUGUUUCCAAAUCUGAGAUCACUUUUGAAAAAUUGAAACAUUUUUUGAAUUUGGUAUUUGUGAACAUGUUUCGAAGCUAAAAGGUAAAAAAGAAACGAAUGAUAAAAAGGAAAAUAAAAAUUUGGUUGGAUGAGGGUGCGCGUUUGGGCAUUGUCCACGGCACACUACACGCUAUAGUAGAGACCUCCUGCUUUUAAGCACUACUAGUUGAAUGCCCGUGCGUUGCCACGGGUCAAUAAAAUUAAUUGUCACUUAAUUAUCGUUGGCCGCCGAAUCCAAUCCGAUUGUUCUGGUUUUCUCGCAACCAUCGUCAAACAAGCGCUCCACUCCUUGCCCCCUAUUUUUAUCAGCCAGUGGGAGGGUCUAGAAUCGCCCUCUUGUUGCCCUAGGAAUCCCUUCACUAAAAGUGCUCAUGUCAUGAAAUAUUUAUUUUACCUUCUUCUCACUAAUAAAAAUAAAAUACACUCAAACUUAAAUAGUAGCUGAACAUAUUAUCAUAAUGAUUCAAUAAAGAAGUAUCCCGUGAUCUUGAUAAGAUCUCAGACUUGAUGGGUCUUGCCAUAUUGGCCACCGAAAAAAUGAAAGCACAUUUUCAUUGAAUAAUAUUUAAGCAUGGAGAUAGUCAAAUACCUACGUGUUUGAAGGAAGCGUCAAAAAAAUAAUAACAACUGAACAUCUUCCCUUCACCCCUCUCUUCAUUUAUUCAUGUAUUCCUUCUUCGUCUAUCUUUUCUCUGACUUCGGCCAUGCCCAUGCUCUUUUUUAUGUUACUUCUCAGAUCCGGUUGUAUCAAAUAAUCGAUAAAACACGACAUUAAGCACAUCAUUAAAACAAAGCAAAGUGAAGGUAUGACGCCCUUUGCAACAAGCAACAUACAUCCGCAAUCGUCAAUGGGGGUCUAACUGAAUCACCUUGUUAUUCUAGAAGAUAGUGCCAACCUUUGGAACCUUACCUAUGCUCAACCUAUGUCUCCAUCGUUCAUGACCUGGCAUUCCUGCAGAGCUACAAUGUCUUAGAAUAUCAUUCUGUGGUUCAAAUAGUUCUCUCAAAUUAUGGAUGCAAACAAAUGUUUUCCUUUAAAAAUGUCUAUCAAGAAGGCUAGCUCACAGAGCAACAAUUGAAUAGAAUGCAUAAUGUUCAAUAAAAUCAAUGGAGGGAACACUUUUGCAAUAAAAAGCAAAUACUACAUGUUCCUCUACAUCUCAAAUAAUCUAUGAUGUGGAGGUACACAAAAGGAUGGUCUGCACUAAAGAAAAUUACAAUUGAUUUCAUGUGUGUUCUAGAAUAAAAAAACUGUACAUUACAAUGUUUUGAUAAUGUGGCAUCCUAGAAAUCGUCAUGUUUUUAGUACAAUAUUUGUCUGCACCAUGUUUCAUUGUUUCCCUCAUGAAGAAACCAUGUACCAAGCAAUAUCAUAGUCGAUCUCUAUAACUUCAACAGACCCAAUGAUUGUAUUUGCUACUUUGACAACAAUGACUUGUGGUCACAAAUUCACCUUCAUAAGUACUACCCAAGUGAAGAUUUCAUAAUUAAUAUAUACAACAUAUAUACAAGUGCUAUAAUAAAGUUUUAUGAAUUCGUAAUGAAUAGAAAUUACUUGCAUAAUUUAAAUAAAGGAUCCUCCAUUUUGCUGAAAAGUAAAAGCUUAAUAACUCUGUGCAAACAGGGAAUGGAGUAACUAAAAGUAGUUGUGAUUCAAAAGUAUGGCACAUUUGGUUUCACCCAGAAUGCUGUAUAACGGGUUCCGCCAUGAAUUUGGAUAUUUUUUAGUUAAUAUAGCUUUUUGCCCUGUAACAUAAACAAAUAACAGUGCCUAAUAUAUUGCAAAACAACCAAUCACAAAAAUCUUUACUGGAAGCAGAGAGGACACAUCUCAGAUAUCUCCAACCUGUCAUUCCCGGAGGCCCGAGUAGUGUUGUUGAACAAGGUCCUCAUAUUGGCCGACUCCUCCUCUUCCGCGCUUGUCCUCCCCACUGUGACCACCCAUGCUCACGUCGCCAGAUCGGUCGAUGUCCCAAGGCCGCCUUCGCCACCCUGAUCGACUGAUGCGCGGACCAGCAUGCAGCCGAUGCCAUUGCCCUGCACUCCUGCGAGACCACAUGCUGGGUUGUCGCCGGUCGAGGUCAUCAUCUGAGAAAGACCCAUCCUCGAAGGACAAGGCCGAUAUCGCCACCGUCUCGAAGGUGCUCUUCCGAUGGCCUCAAGUCCGCAGCCGUCCACAUGAGCCGCCAAUAGUGGAGAGGGGUGGGUUGAGGCCGUGGCCGAGGCCUAGAUGAGAUGCGCGACGCAGGAGAGGGAGAGUGCGGGGUACCAGCCAGGUGGUUCGGGUUUGGCAAAGAGAUCUGCAUAUGGAGUUUGUGGACUUGUGGGAGAAGUGGAGGACGUAGGGGAUUUUUCUUUGGGUUUUCACUACUUUGGAACGUGAGGUUUUUCUACAUUGUUUUUUCUUUCUGCGUGGGAAUCGAUAGGACGGAGUGAGAGGACGUAUCGACAGGAGGAGAAGGGGGAUCGAACCAUCACGACGAAGACGACGACGUUCGAUUGCUGACAAUAUAUGCUAGUACUAUAGUACAAAACACAGAGGUCAGCCCGGUAUAAUGCCAAAAAUUUGUACUCUACUGAAAAGAGACCCCCAAAGUCAGGAAAAACAAGAGAGGAGAAACAUCAAAGUCAGAAAAAACAAGAGAGGAGGAAUUUCAAAAUCAGCCCUGCAAAAAAAGACUAUCAUGUCAUGAACUUGAAAACAGAAAAAAAAAAUCAUUCUAAACAAAAUAACAAGCAAAAUUAUGCGGAAACCCAUCAAAACUGCCGAAAUAACAUAGAAAACUGAAGCAACUUAUCAGAGGGACAUACAGGAGAAGCUAGCAGAGCUCGUUGUGCUCGAAUCCAAGCAGCCCCUGGACUCAGAGCUCAUCUUGGACAGAAUUUCAGCCAGAAAUCAAUCAGCACGAGUCUAGCUAGAGUGGGGGUUGUACCAUCGCCGGUUUGUCUUAGGCGCCACGAAGGGCGCGGCAGCACCAUCCCAAGAAGAGGUGGUGGUGCCCAGUGAGCACGACGUUGGGGGCGGUAGGACAGAUGAUAUCUACACCACAGCAGCGGCAUAUGGGGAAAGGAGAUGGGCGGCUUCUGCGUGGAUCGGUGGCUGCAGCUGUCAGAAGAAGUACGGGGGUGGGAUAGAGGGCGUGCGUGCGUUGGUUUCAGAUGGUUCGAUCAUGGGCCAUAAAUGUGCGACGUGAAUAACGCGAACGAGGGAUGGGGUGCAGCUAAAAAAUUUCACAAAGAAAUCGUGCGAGGAGCCAGAGGUUAUACGACGGGAGGAGUCGUGCAGAGGGAUUGUUAGAGAUGAUCGAACCAUCACGAUGGCAGAUCCCUCUUUAAUAGUAGAGAUUCACAAAAAAGCAGGUGUUAACUCAAGUCAAAGAAUCACCUAAUAGACUGAGAUACAGCUAUAGGGACAAGUAUUUGUAUUUGCAUAGUGCAUGCCAAAAGCUAACGAACUUAACGGACCAACAAAUGCGAGUAGGAGAGACUUACUUGAGUGCCUCUGUAAGAGACUCGAGAAGCUGGUACCGCUCUUUGUAAGCCAAACCAAUCAACAAUAUGACACUUGUUGGCAGAGAAAAAAAAUCGACAAACAGGGAACCUACAAGUCAAAAAAAAGAGCAAACACUUGGUGUGCAUCCUAUGCCACAGCGAGAGUUAAUUCAUUUAUAGUCAUAUAUUCAAAGAGAAGGGUACAUAUACAUUUUGUCCCUUGUAUGAUUUUUAACCGAUGUCUAUGUUGAACAGUAGCUUUGAAUACAUAAUUCAAUUCCAAAAAAUAUGGUCAACAUACAGAUGUUAAGGUAGAAAUAAUACUGCCACUAAGAAACACUCAUGGUGCCAAGAUAGAAAUAUUAUUAUAAUGUACGCUAAUUCAAUGAUCAUCGAUGGCAAGGGGAAGAGUGUGUUGUACCACUGUUGUUAUAUAUUUGAAAUCUCAGUGCACAUCACAGAUAUAAUUUCUAGCAAUACCAAGCUUUGAUCUCAAACAAAACAUAUCCAUGUUACCCUCAGGAUAACUGAACAACAAUAUCUGACAGUGGUCACCCAAUUGAAUCCAUACAUCUUGGCACCAAAAUCGGAAGUUCUGGGUAGCUCCAUCACAGAUUUUAACACCUAAAGGGUUGAAGGAAAAAACAUUCAGUACUUGCUAUAAGUAAAGGAAAACCAUAAAAUUUAUAUCUAUGGACUUGCAAAGACAAUCAAGAGCAACGGGAGAACAAAAUCCUUGUAUGCACCAACCGACUCAUUCAUUUCAGUGACAGGUUUAUGGUGUCAGUGAUUCCCACACAAAUGCUUGCAUUCCGAACAUACUUCAUCCCAUUAUUAUCUUGUACAAAGUUUGCAUGCUACUCUUCGGUUGUGUGUCUAAAUACAAAUUAAUUAGGUCAUAUCACUCAAUAAUCAAACAAAUUAGUGAAAUGUCUUUAAUGGGAGAGAAGGGCCACUAAUCAAGGCAUAGGAAACGCUUGGACAACAGCGUCCUUGACAAGAAAUCAACACAACAAAGCUUAUGCAGGAUCACCGCAUCCGCGUGCCCGCUAAUUGCAGUGUGCCCUUCGCUACAGCCCAGAGUGACCUCACGGCACGAAGGGCUAUCUCCCUAUCUAUAUUGCCAUAACUUUCAGAUAUCAAAAUCCUUGAAUAACAUGAAGACAUGACCUCCAAAAGAAUCAUUGAAAAAGUAUUACUAUGAUCCUUAUUUUUUGCAUGUAUUUCUUUCUACAUGAACCACAUUCUGAAUUUAACAGGAGAAUAACUACAGUAAAAUCGUAUAUAAAUCAUCAAAUGGUUUUGUUUUUCUGAUGAGGUCAUUACGUGGACAGGAAAGCCUUGGUUUGAGACUCAUGAUAAUUAUUAUCACUUAUUGUAUCUCUACAAAGUUAAUAUAAACAUAUAUGAAGUAAAAUUGUUUUGCAAGAAAAAUAAUACAAUACAUUUUAUACAUGUCCAACCCAUGUACUCUGGUAUGUAAAAAUGAUCAAAAUCGCACACUGAAACCCGUGCAAACUCAGGGGCAUUAUAUAUCAUGGAGGAGGGAGUGCCUGAAGCAAAAGUCUGAUUCGUGUCUUCCCAACUUUAACACUUAAAAGUGCAUGGCAUCCCCUUGAAACUUGAAUAAUGACUUUUGAACAACAAAACCAUAUCCAAAUCUUUCAUAUGCUUCGUUACAAUUUUACACAGUACAACAAUGACACACCUCGAUCAAGAUAAUUGGUUUCUCCUUUACAAUAAUAAAUAUAAGUAGAAGGCCAUGAGUGUUAUAUUACAAUGUUGUUAAUACUUACGCCAAUGUGAAGCUGUCCACCUAAUGGCUACACAACUCUUUGACCAUGUUCACUAAAUUGCCCGUGCGUUGCAACGGCGAUAAACUAAAAAUGUUGCCAUGGCAGAAAAACAGGCGAAAAAAAGAAUAAGUGCACGUGUUUGUGUUUUUACCUCCUCACCCUCACCGUCACCACAUCCUUGCCCUACAUCAGUCACAGCGACAUGACAUUGCACCAUUGCCUACGAUGUUGCCAAGGAUCUGCCUCAUUUUCACUCUCCAUCAUCAUUGUGAUGAACGCCCCCACUCUUCACUGGGACUAUGCCAAUUACCUCCAAAAUACCUUCACCGCCUAUGUGAAAUGUCAAACUCGACAAUAUUCAUCAGUACACAUUAUUAAUUCACUAAGAAAAUUUACACUUUAUAAACCUAGUGUGCAAUGCUUCUUGCAAAAUUAGUCUAACUGGAUUGUAUGUGAGCACUCCCAAAUUUUAUUACUCACCUGCAUGAAGCCUUUGCUUUCACUACUACCAGCUAGUAUAUUUGACUAACUAAUUGGUCAAUACAUGUUAUGGCAAGAUAAAUGACAUGCAGUUUGCUAGUAAAUUUUAGUAAGUUUCGCCUCUAUUCAGUCCCAUGACCUCUGCUCCUAUACAUGAGCUCAAAUACCAUACCAGCAGAUCAAACAUUUUCUUAUUAUAAGUUGACUUAUUAAUGCCUUCUUUUACAAUGAAUGUGCAUAUUAGAGAUGUUUUAUACUUGUGUGCUAAUAAUGUUAACCUGGUUACAUCAAUCAACAUAAGAGAGGAGGCAACUUUUGCGAUAGCUUGGAGAGAUAAAAUGUCAAAUGGGAAAACACUCAUAUUGAUUUAUUCAUGAGUACACAUUAUUAUUUCACUGUUCUGAAUCGCAAUCACCUAAAGAAAGCAUCAUGCUUCAAACUAUAUACAUGUCCAUGUGUGGUCUCACCAAUCUAGUACUACAUAGAUGAUCAUUUUUUAAGGUAUGGAUCCAUUUUUUUAAGCUAAGCACAUUCAGAUUCCAACCACCCAAGGUAUGAAUCCAUUUUUCUAGUUAUUGCGUAAUUCGAUCUGUUAACCACCAAAUAAUAAAAAAUCAAAAACUGUGGGAUUGAGGAAGAAGAUUAAACUUGAGGUCAUAUUGAGCGGUCCUACUUGUAUCGUGGCUUUGGGCUGGAUCACCACUGUCAUGGCGCCGUCCCACAUCACAGCUUCGCCCUCGCAAGGAGCCGACUUGAAUCAACUUAGUCGUUGCAGCUGAAUUCCUAUUUAUCGGCCUAGACUUAGAUCUUCUCCUCUCUGCUCUCUGUUGAAUAAUUGUCCCUGUUUUAUUUUCUAGAUUGACCUACAUAUUUUAGUUUUCUGGUGAUAAACAUAUAUGCUAGAGCCCUACAAAUUAAUAUCUAUGAUUCGAUAUUAAUGUCAUAGCUUCAAAAAUAAAACAACAACCACUCCAUAAACACAUCCUCUGUCCAGAAUAUAAUUAUAUUCAUAGUAAAAAAAUCUAGGGACGAAGGUACUACUUGAAGAACUGUCAUCACAAGUUCAGUAAACAUACCACAUGGUAUGUAUGCACACCAGACAAUUCCAACACGUACAUCGGCAUCGUGGAAACGGCCUUGAGUGCCUCUGUUGUCCUCUCCAACAGCGGGAACUACACCAUCGAGGGCUCCUGCACGAUCACCCUGUAUACUUGGCAAAAUCAGUCGGGAAGCAACAUGAGAGGUACAGUGGGUAGCAAGCAGGAUUCAAUGUUCAUGACAUGACAUAGAAACUGAGAAGAGUGGCUUCAAUAAAGUUGCUAGUAAAAGCUACCUUCAGACUCAAGGAUUUGAGCACGUUUCUUGCGCUCUGCUGCGGCCUGCAUCUCCAUGGCCUUCUUGACUCCAUCUGGAGGAGUGAUGUCCCCUAGAAAGACAGAUAGACAGAUUGAUGGAUAUUAGUAAUGUGAUGCUGUGAGGUGGUUGGAUAAGGAGAUGAUAUAUUGUGCCAUACAUACAGACAGUUGAAGAAGGAAGGAAGGAAAAGAAGCAUACUGAUUUCGUAGCGAAGACACUUCAAACCCCAAGUUUCAGCUGCCUCAUUGAUUGACUUCUGUAGUUGGGGAAAUAAGAGAGCACAUGAAUCACACACAAUCCAAGCAUGUAUAUAUGAUACUCGAGAUAUAAAUCAAAGUCAUGUCCUAGUAAUAAGCAUCCAAAUUUUUGAAGUAUGCAAAAGGCAGGUAGGUUAGGUAUGCAAAAGUACCACAAUGUUGUAGUUGAGCGUGUCCCUCUCCUCGAAGGUCUUGUCAAGGGUGAUCCUAUUUCGUGAAGACAUUAGUCGAAUGGCAUACUACAUAUGUCCUCCCUCUACUGAUCUAAAACAUCUUCUAUUAGAUUACAGAUGUCUUUGUUUACACGGGGGUCAUCCUCCUUUUCAAAAAAAAGAAGCAAAUGACAUGGUAUGAUUCAUGGGUAAUGAGUAUCCAUUGCCAUCCCUCGGUAUUAAGUCUCAUUAGAUGACAUGUAGCAUGUUUAAUCACAUCAACAAUAGCAUAUACCAUAAGCUAAUUAAUUUCCUUUUGUUAUAAUGAUUAAGAAAAAUGAUAGUAGAAACAUAUGAUAUUAAAAAAACCAUGUCCAGUGUUGUAUAUUUACAUGGAAUUUUUGUAGGAAUAUCCAUUCUAAUAAAAAUUUGCUUAGAGCGCUGACUACCAGUUACAUGAAAGUCGAUGCAUGCCGUUUUAAAUAAGUCACCACCAAGUCCUAAUCAGCAAUGGAUUUUAUUCCUUGCAACCAAAGAAGUGGUUUAUGAUCUGAAAAAUUGAACCGGAAAACAUUUAGUGAAGAGUAACCGAAAGUAGUAGCGAAUGACAAGAGCAUAUAUAUGUCCGAAUAUAUGUGCAACACCGCAUGAACUGUAAAUCAUAGGUAUAUGAUCAUCAUGGUUUCCACUUUCCAAAAAAAACCACCUCUAAAAAAACCAUCGUACGAUCCCACCUCCUCCCAUAAUACGAUCCCACACAGGAAAGAAAAAAACCCAGCUUAGCAUGAUACUGGAAAACAAAAACACGAUCUCCACCUCCUCGCAGUAUCCAAAUGAACCUGAACAACCCGCCGCCAUCCUCUCAGGUGACCAGUCAUCGCGGCCUUCUCAGGCAACCACUCACCCGACCACUCAUCCUCUCAGGCGACCACUCAGCACGGAGAAUGGAAAUUACUGCCUUAGAAUCCAUUACUAAGUGCAUCAUUUUUCUACUAUCUAAAAACCUGGGUAUUUUUUUACCAUUAGAAGUGGCCUCCUUCCAGCCUUGUCCAUCGGAAGCACCCCAAGUGCCGUCAUCGGAAUCUAGAAGAACACCAUAAAAUCAGUGAGUACUGAGUGGCAGAAACUAUUGCAUAAGAGCCAUGAUUAAAUACCUGAACCGCAACCAUAGCGAGCAUUCCCGUGUUCCCUGACGAGAAACCUGAUUCAUGUCAUGGAUAGUUAGUACCCAAAAGUAACACAUGGUAAUAAAUAUGUCCAUUAACUAUAAGCAGUAAGCAUGAGAAAGUUAAGUCAUCAGGUUGCUAAAAUUCAUUACCAACCGAGACAAAUAUCUCACUGGCGUAGAAGCACAUUGCGUUCACUCCACAAAACUGUUGAAGGACCAUGAGCCCAACUCCAACCUGAAAGAAAUCCAAUACUUAUAAAGUUACACAUGAGCAUCUCCUUUGUAGCUAGAAAUGCAUAACUAAAAUACUUACGGUGACGGCAUGAAUGUAAUCCUUCUGAAAUAAGUCCAACAUCUUUGACUGUGGCAAGUGCUGAAGCUUUUCUGUGAAAUCCUGAACAUAUAUAAUUAGCUAGACAUUUCAGUAAUGCAGGACUAAGCUCUCAGGCGACCACUCAGCACGGAGAAUGGAAAUUACUGCCUUAGCAUCCAUUACUAAGUGCAUCAUUUUUUCUAAAAACCUGUGUAUUUUUUUUACCAUUAGAAGUGGCCUCCUUCCAGCCUUGUCCAUCAGAAGCACCCCAAGUGCCGUCAUCGGAAUCUACAAGAACACCAUAAAAUCAGUGAGUACUGAGUGGCAAAAACUAUUGCAUAAGAGCCAUGAUUAAAUACCUGAACCGCAACCAUAGNNNNNNNNNNGAAAUAUGUCCAGUAACUAUAAGCAGUAAGCAUGAGAAAGUUAAGGCAUCAGGUUGCUAAAAUUCAUUACCAACCGAGACAAAUAUCUCAGUGGCGUAGAAGCACAUUGCGUUCACUCCACCAAACUGUUGAAGGACCAUGAGCCCAACUCCAACCUGAAAGAAAUCCAAUACUUAUAAAGUUACACAUUAGCAUCUCCUUUGUAGCUAGAAAUGCAUAACUAAAAUACUUAUGGUGACGGCAUGAAUGUAAUCCUUCUGAAAUAGGUCCAACAUCUUUGACUGUGGCAAGUGCUGAAGCUUUUCUAUGAAAUCCUGAACAUAUAUAAUUAGCUAGACAUUUCAGUAAUGCGGGACUAAGUUGGUGUUCUAUUUUAAAUAUCAGGUUUAUAACAGUUGAUACUUUGAUAUCUGCUGCCUCUUCCGAGACGGCACAUCCUGCUUUAAGUUGGUGGGAGAGAGCUCUUACCGGGGGAGAGAGGUCGAACCAUCGCUGAGGUUGAACCAUCACGACGGCACAUCCUGCUUUAAUAGUAGAGAUAGUUUCCCAACCAGUACUGGCGUGUGGCUUUGCGAUCAGUUGGAUCAGUUGGGGCCAAUAGGCAAUAGCGAAUGAAAUGGCUUUACCACUCGAUGCUGCAAGCUCGCUAGCUUGCACGAGCCAGCAAGAAAACCAGCAGGUGCUAAAAUAACGACUUACGUUUUUCUGUAGAUAACAAAACUCGUACUUAAAAUCUAUCUGCACAUUUGAAGAAACAAAAUUACAUUUCUUUAAAGGCGUAGGUGAAGCGCCCAAAUACAAACCCAUUUCAUGGUCUUUUGGUUCUUUCGUUCGGAUCGGACGUUGUUUUCUAGUUCUUUGCUCGCGACCGCUCAUUUUUAUCAGCUUUUGCAUGCGUUUUUCCUCAAAAACCGAGUACACUAGGACUGUAAAACAAUUGGAAAACUAAAAAUGCUCACAAUUUCUAAAAAGAUCGACCAAUUAAAGAACUAUGUUCACGAAUUCAUAAAAUGUUCGCAGUUUCAAACAAAUAUCUUCAUGAAUUUGAAAUUUUUACAUGCAUUUAUAAAUUAUGAGCGAGUGCAAAAAAGUUCAAAAGUUGUAAAUAUGUAUCCUAAUUUGUGGCAAUAUUUGUAAUUCAAAAAAUUCUUGCCUAUUCACAAAAUAUUUAUGAAUACAAAAAGUAAGAUCAAAUUUACAAAAUGUUGGCAAAUUCAAAGAAUGCACAAGAAUUGGAAAACUAAAUGUCCAAGAAUUUGAAAAAUGUUUGCGAAAUUCAAAAAUGUGUUUGCAUAUAGAAAAUGCUGACAAAUGUUGAGAAUUCACAAAAUAUUUGCCAAAUUUAGAAAAAUAUUAGUGAACUUGAAAACAAAAAAACAAAGGAAAAUAACAAUUGUAGGGAAAACACCUGAAAGAGAGCACAAAAGUAGAAAAACGCUCUAGGAAUGUUAGAACCUUUCGAGAACCGGAAAGGGGGAUUCUUGCUAGUUUAGCCGUCCCAAUGAUAGAAAAUUGCUAGUCCCCAUUUCGAGAACCGAAAAGGGGGAUUUUCUAGCAAAGGAUUGAUGAAUGUAUUUUUAAGAACAAGUACAAUAAAGCUGAAUCAGCUGGCUAUAAGUAAUAAAUUAAUAUAUUUUUAUUUAGUUGGAGGAAAGAGAAGGGGAGAAAUAAGGUAAGCGAGUCCUUAGCUAAGAGUCAGCUCUAGCACGUGUUCCUAAACAUUUUAUGAGUAUGAAAGGUGUGUCAUAUAAUAAUAAAAAAAAGUAAUACACAUUUGCAAUGAACUGUUGUACAUGUUGGCUAUAAGAUUAGCUAUAGAUGAUAUGACGAUGGUUUAUAGCCAGCAGCUGGCUAUAUUAUUGUACUUAAUCUAAUGUACCAAAAUGUCGUUGAAAUAAAUAAAACGGCCUAGAAAUGUAUACAUGUGGACGAGAUGCGAUCUCGUGUUUGACUCACGACUAGCGCAUCAAGAAAACGGACGCCGUCUCAUUGUCAUGUUCAAACGAACGAAAUCCGGACACGAGGAACGUCCAUGUUUGGAGUAGUUCGCCAAAGCACAGCCACCACCUUGACCAUGAGGACGUACGGCACUUCCCAACAAAACAAUCUCUGCGCGGGCACCUGCAUGCAUGCCAUCACCAGCCGGCCCCACGGCUGCGGACACGACGAUGCGGAUGACAAACCACGCCGUCUCUAGCUAGUCAUCGGAGGCGCGCGAUUAACAACGCCGCGUCUGGCCGGCCGGCUCUCGUCCUCCGGCACGCCUCGGUCCUAACGGAGGCCUCGCCGUUCAACCCUCACCUAUCCGUCUUCCACCUUCUCUAAUUUGGUCGCAUUUGUUAACUCCCGUUGGGCGUGCGCUCCCAAGCCCUAUAAAACCCCGGCCAGCAGCACACAUGCACUCUCACCGCACCGAUCGCUCCGUUGUCGUUCACCCUGUCCUCGCUGUCAUCAUGUUCGGGCACAAGAAGCACAACCAGCCCCCUCCGCCGCCGGCCGGCGCCGGCUCCCCGACCGCGUCGCUGCCGAUGAUGCCGCAGCAGGCGGAGCCGACGUUCAAGAUCUUCUGCCGCGCCGACGAGGCCUACUGCCUCACCAUCCGCCACGACGCCGUCGUCCUCGCCCCGACCAACCCCCGCGACGACUACCAGGCACGUACACCCAGCCAUACGAUUCUCAUUCGAGUGAACGUACGUACGUGGAAGUGACACUUCUGCACGUGUGCGUGUGUGUGUGUGGGUACAGCACUGGUACAAGGACAUGAGGCAGAGCACGAGGGUGAGCGACGCGGAGGGGCACCCGGCGUUCGCGCUGGUGAACAAGGCCACGGGGCUGGCCGUGAAGCACUCGCUCGGCCAGUCCCACCCCGUCAAGCUCAUCCCCUACAACCCGGCGUUCGAGGACGAGUCGGUGCUGUGGACGGAGAGCAACGACGUCGGCAAGGGCUUCCGCUGCAUCCGCAUGGUCAACAACCUCAGCCUCAGCUUCGACGCCCUCCACGGCGACAAGCCCCACGGCGGGGUGCACGACGGCACCGCCGUCGUCCUCUGGGAGUUCUGCAAGGGCGAGAACCAGAGCUGGAAGAUCCUGCCCUGGGGCGCCGACGGUGGCGGCUACGGGUACGGGUACGGUUACGGCGGAGGCUCGUCCGGCGGCCGGGACCCCUACGCGUCUCCGCCUGCGUACGGAGGAGGGUACCGCACCCCGCCGGCCGGCGAGGAGGCCUACCCGCCGCCGCCGCAUGCCCACGGCGCUGAGGCGUACGCGCCGCCGGGCGCAGGGUACGGGUACGGCAACCUGCACCGCGCGCUGGCGUCUGAGUCCACCGUGCGCGUCCUGUGCAGCGCCGGCGAGGACUACAGCCUCACCGUGAGGAACGGCACCGUGUGCCUCGCGCCCACCAACCCCAGGGACGAGUUCCAGGUGAAAACCAAAGGGAUGAAUGCACAUACAUAGCUUGUUCCAUCCGAACCAGCAAUUUCUCAACGCCCAUCAAUCCAUGGCGACCUUACUGACUUUCGUCUCUGUUAAUUAAUUUUGCGUGUGUGCGUGACAAAACGAAAUGCAGCACUGGGUGAAGGACAUGAGGUACAGCACCAAGAUCAAGGACGAGGAGGGCUACCCUGCGUUCGCCCUGGUGAACAAGAUCACCGGCGAAGCCAUCAAGCACUCCCUCGGGCAGAGCCACCCUGUAAGCCUCAAAAACUAAACCACCAUGCAUGCAACCUGGAUUAUAUUUGUAGUACUGCUGACUACGAACAUAGCGUCUGUCAUCUUGUGACUGUGACGUUAACACAUGUAAUACACCUUAAAUUCAAGUUGGCCGGUCAAUGCAGUGGUUGGCACGUGCCUAUCUACGUUUGCGAUUUCCAUGUUGGCGUCACACGACGUGAAACUAUUUUCCACCACCCCCUUUCUCGUACGUUUUGAGACGUUUACAGCAACACGUAGGUGAACCGUGCUUGACAUGUGAUGUGGACUGCAGGUGAAGCUUGUGGGUUACAACCCGGAGUACAUGGACGAGUCGGUGCUGUGGACGGAGAGCAGGGACGUGGGCAAGGGGUUCCGCUGCAUCCGCAUGGUGAACAACAUCUACCUCAACUUCGACGCGCUCCACGGCGACAAGGACCACGGCGGCGUCCACGACGGCACCGAGGUCGUGCUCUGGGAGUGGUGCAAGGGCGACAACCAGCGCUGGAAGAUCGUCCCGUGGUGUAAGCUACUCUCAACCUUCAGGGCCUUGCACUCACCCUUCACCGCACUUAAUCUGUCCACUGAUCACCAUUACUUGCUUGCCUUUCUCAUGCAGAGACUGUACCUUGAUGUCAUCCGCUUCAUGUCGUGUCCGUUCUGCACUUCUGCGCGUUCAGUAGAGAGAAUAAACCUAGGCUGCAGCGAUGAUCUCUUCUUACUUGAUCGAGACCGGAUCGCUUCUUUGUCUGAGAACAAGUUCAGGAUGUCGAUCAGGUGCAGGGCGGUCUAGCUAGCUAUCUUCUGAGUUUGGUGUGGAUCGCUACGUUGAUCCAUGCGAAUGUGUCUCCUCCUGUCUGUCAAGGAGAGAGUUUAGUUCGUUGGCACCUGACAGUUUUCGAGAGAAUAACAUGUAUGAAUGUACAUUUAUGUUUGUAAUGAACAAAUAUAUGCCUGCAUAAGCCACUGUCCUGCAUUAUUGAUCUGUUUUUUCACCGGGGCUCACAAGUUGCCAGUUGUGGACUUGUGGUCACACCAGCUACCUAAUACGUAAUCUACGAAGAAAUUGAGGUUUAUAUUACAGAAUUGAUGACAUUGACACUCGGUGAGACUGAAGAACUUCUAGAUUCCCUCUUUUUUAAAAGAGCUUCUAGAUUGCCAGGUCAUGCCGCCCAACACAUUGCUUAAAUACAUAUCGGUCUAAUUCUUAACGCCCAAGCAUCACUCCGUGUUAUUCUCGUGCUGUCAAUUCAAGGAGGAGUUUAGGAUGGAGUGUUUCGUUCAACGUAGAAAACAAUGAAGCCACUACACGUCAAAAAAAAAAAAAAAANNNNNNNNNNNNNNNNNNNNNNNNNNNNNNNNNNNNNNNNNNNNNNNNNNNNNNNNNNNNNNNNNNNNNNNNNNNNNNNNNNNNNNNNNNNNNNNNNNNNNNNNNNNNNNNNNNNNNNNNNNNNNNNNNNNNNNNNAAUCUCCCAUGACCUCUUCAAACAGGCUUCCGCCCUGCUUAAUAUAUAAAACAACAACUUCACAAAAUACACGGCCGAACAAUACAAUAUGAUAGGGGGCCCUCCUUACAAAGCAUCGGAUAAACAAGAAAUCAGAACAAACGUAACACCUAGACAAGGUACGAUGAAGGGCGCCUCGCACCCUUGAUAUAAACAAGAGUGUGACGACACGAUGCGACACCGCUGCCGAGUCCAGCACCGCCACCACGGGGCCUGCCGGGAAGCCAACUAUGGAUCCUGCCAUCCAGGACCGCUGCCUUGGCAUCUGAGUCCCAAGGCACCUCCAGCCUUCCACAUCACGACCACCUAACCACGGUAGUAGAAGAGAAAGACGAUGUCUUUCCCCCUAGCCCGAAAUCAGCCUCGGGUCGGUAUCGGCACCCCACAGUAGGGAGCACACACACCCGCAUCCCGAAGCCAGUCCCGGUCGACCAGGAGGGAUACAACCCAGAGACAAUCAACGGCCAGCGCCAAGCACAGUUGAGCGCCGCCAUAUCUGUCGUACUCAGGGCCGAUCCGAAGAUGACAGAGGAAGGCCCCAGGCACGAAACUCGGACCGACCCCACGCACAGGGAACAUGCAAGUGGGCCAUAACACAAAGGCUUGCGACGAUGCGGACCAAGUCAACCUCCAAUAAUUGCACACUGUCGGAAAUCGUCCACCACCACACACCAGGAACCCCACAGCCACACCUACAGUGACGCCAUAACGUGUGGACGCUGAAAGGAUCGAGAUGGACCUAGAGGGGGUGAAUAGGUAUAAUUACAAAUUUUAAUUGUUUCUUAGCAAUUUUAGGCAAUAAUGUGAAAUAUGAAGGUGAGCCUAACAAUUGCAAAGAUGGUAGUCGUGCGUACUGAGCAAGACAACAAUUAAUUAAAGAGUUAAGACAAGUAAUACAAGUAAUAUAAGAAAUAUCAAAAAGACAAAUAACCAUAAGUAGAGAGUUAGGGUUAGGGAUAACCACAACUCCGAGAGACGAGGAUGUAUGCCGAUGUUCACUUCCUUGGAGGGAAGCUACGUCACCGUUUAGAGAGGUGGAUGUUACCACGAAGGCACACCAACGCCACGAAGGUUCACCCUAUUCUCUCUUUGAGACAACACCACGAAGGCGAUUCUCAACCACUAGUGGUAGACAUUGGGGUGGUCUCCAAACCGUCACAAACUUUCCGGGGGUAAUCACAAUGAAAGAUUCCUCGCCGGAGUACUCCUACCGCCUAGGAGUCUACAGCCUCCAAGAGUAACAAGAUGCACCGUGAAAACAAAGGUGAAUCAACUUUUUCUUUGGCGAAUGUGUAGAUCAGGCACUCCUGCUUCACUCCUCAAAAGAUCAAGAGCUUUUGUUGGCUAAGGAGGGAGAACUCCAAGAAAUAGAGGUCUGAAAAUAGUGGAGAGAGAAAAAUGGAGUUUCUACGGUGCUUGAGGAAGAAGAAUGCUAUUUAUAGGAGGGGAAGAAAUCCAGCCGUUGGGGGCCAGAUUACUGCCAACCCCGAAAGUUCCGAGGGGACCGGAGGUUCCGGACCCCGGAAGUUCAGGCCAGGUUCCGGGAAGGUUCCGUCUUAAACAAAAUGAUUGCACCCGGUUGUAGUCCCUUGGAAGCAGUCAGGAUGAGGAUGAUAGAUCCUAAGCCCGGAAGUUUCGACUAGGGUCCGGCAAGGUUCCGGCCUAAACAUACCCUGUGCUUCUCAAGCAUACCUGAAGGAAAUUCAAAGCAAAUAUUUUCAGUAGGUNNNNNNNNNNNNNNNNNNNNNNNNNNNNNNNNNNNNNNNNNNNNNNNNNNNNNNNNNNNNNNNNNNNNNNNNNNNNNNNNNNNNNNNNNNNNNNNNNNNNACCAUUUGUUUCCUUGUUGUUUUUGUAAUUUCAGAUUACAAAAACCUAUAUCUACCAUCCAUAUUNNNNNNNNNNGAGAGAACUUCACUAGUGAAAGUAUGAACCCUAGGCCUUGUUUCCACGCAUUGCAAUACCGUUCGUGCUCACUUUUUUUACUAGUUACCUUCCUGUUUUUGUAAUUUCAGAUUACAAAAACCUAUAUCUACCAUCCAUAUUGCACUUAUUUCACCAUCUCUUCGCCGAACUAGUGCACCUAUACAACUGACCAUUGUAUUGGGUGUGUUUGGGACACAAGAGACUCUUUGUUAUUUGGUUGCAGGGUGCUUGAGAGAGAUCAUCUUCAUCCUACGCCUCCCGCGGAUUGAUAAACCUUAGGUCACCCACNNNNNNNNNNGUUUGUUAUUUGGUUGCAGGGUUGCUUGAGAGAGACCAUAUUCAUCCUAUGCCUCCCGCGGAUUGAUAAACCUUAGGUCACCCACUUGAGGGAAAAUUGCUACUGUCCUACAACCCUCUGCACUUGGAGGCCCAACAACGUCUACAAGGAGAAGGUUGCGUAGUAUACAUCAAGCUCUUUUCUGGCGCCGUUGCCGGGGAGGUUAGCGCUUGAAGGUAUAUCUUUAGAUCUUGCAAUCGAAUCUNNNNNNNNNNCGCUAGAAAACUACAAAAAAAUGGAAUUGAGGGUGCCUCAUUUGCUCCAUCUUUUCAAUGUCUUUCGUGAGCAUGAUGGGAAGGAAAAUUGUGCUCAAGUGCUGAAAGAAGAAUUACAUAGAAUGCUUGGCAUAGAAUNNNNNNNNNNNNNNNNNNNNNNNNNNNNNNNNNNNNNNNNNNNNNNNNNNNNNNNNNNNNNNNNNNNNNNNNNNNNNNNNNNNNNNNNNNNNNNNNNNNNNNNNNNNNNNNNNNNNNNNNNNNNNNNNNNNNNNNNNNNNNNNNNNNNNNNNNNNNNNNNNNNNNNNNNNNNNNNGGCAAAGCCACGAGCUUGGGGAUGCUAUAUUUGAUGAAGAUGAUCUUUUUAGUUAUUCCACUUUGAAUGAUCAAAAUUAUUUUGAUGAAAGAAUGCCCCCUAUUUAUGAUGAUUAUUGUGAGGAUACUUAUCUUUGAAGAAGAGGGAUAAUACAACUUGUCAUACUUUCGAAAACCCCUUUGCUACCUUGCUUUUUCAUUGUGGACACAAUUUGUAGUGCUCAAGUCUUUUACGAUACUCCCACUACUAUUCUUGAGAAAAUAUUUCCUUAUGUGGAGAGUAGUAAAAUUUCUAUGCUUGUAGAUCAUGANNNNNNNNNNNNNNNNNNNNNNNNNNNNNNNNNNNNNNNNNNNNNNNNNNNNNNNNNNNNNNNNNNNNNNNNNNNNNNNNNNNNNNNNNNNNNNNNNNNNUAGGAUACCAUAGGAGUGCUUUGGGUGUAUCAAACGUCACAACGUAACUGGGUGACUAUAAAGGUGCACUACGGGUACCUCGGAAAGUGUCUGUUGGGUUGGUACGAAUCAUGAUCGGGAUUUGUCACUCCGUGUGACGGAGAGGUAUCUCUGGGCCCACUCGGUAGAACAUCAUCAUGAGCUCAAUGUGACUAAGGAGUUAGUCACACGAUGACGUGCUACGGAACGAGUAAAGAGACUUACCGGUAACGAGAUUGAACAAGGUAUNNNNNNNNNNGGUGUGCAUCCAACUUGCUUGCUCACGAAGACCUAAGGCAAUUUUGAGGAAGCCUAUCAUUGGAAUAUACAAGCCAAGUUAUAUAAUGAAAAUUUCCCACUAGCUAUAUGGUGGUGACAAAACGAGAUACUCUCAAUCAUGAAGAUCAUGGUGCUUAAUAUGCACAAGUGUGGAAAGGUGGUAACAUUGUCCCUUCUCUCUUUUUCUCACAUUUUUUUGAAUGGGCUCUUUGGCCUCUUUUUAUAUUAUUUUUUUAUUAUUUUGGUGGGCAUCUUUGGCCUCUUUUAUUUUCUCACAUGGGACAAUGAUCCAUCAAUGAUGAUCAUCACACUUACAACUCAAAGCUUAGAACAAUGAUGACACUAUAUGGAAUGCCUUCGGUAGUGUACCGUGACAAUGAUCUAGCAUGGCAUAGACAUUAAUGGAAACAUCAUGCUAGCUAUCUUACGAUCAUGCAAUGGAAAUGUAGACGUGGUGGCACAUGUCAUGGUGGUAGUUGCAUGGCAAUAUAUCUCGGAAUGACUUUGAAAAGGCCAUAGUAGGUAGGUAUGGUGGCUGUUUUGAGGGAGGCUAAUGGUGGNNNNNNNNNNAUUUUUUGGUGGGCUCUUUGGCCUCUUUAUUAUUAUUAUUUUUUAUUUUUAUUUUGGUGGGCAUCUUUGGCCUAUUUUAUUUCCUCACAUGGGACAAUGCUCCAUCAAUGAUGAUCAUCACACUUUCAACACAAAACUUAGAGCAACGAUGACUCCAUAUGGAAUGCCUUCGGUAGUGUACCGUGACAAUGAUCUAGCAUGGCAUAGACAUUAAAUGAAACAUCAUGCUAGCUAUCUUAAGAUCAUGCAAUGGAAAUUUAGAUGUGGUGGCACAUGUCAUGGUGGUAUUUGCAUGGAAAUAUAUCUUGGAAUGACUUUGAAAAAUCCAUAGUAGGUAGGUAUGGUGGCUGUUUUGAGGGAGGCUAAUGGUGGGUUUUGUGCACCGACGAAAGUUGCACGACACUAAAGAAGAUAGUGAUGGUGGAAGAUGAAAGUGCAUCUAAACCAUGGACUCAACAUUAAUCAUGAAGAACUCAUAUACUUGUUGCAAAAGUUUUAUUAGUAAUCGAAACAAAGCAUACAACGCAUACUCCUAGGGGAAGGGUUGGUAGGUAUAAACCAUCGCGCGAUCCCAACCGCCACGCAAAGGAUGACAAUCAAUAUACUAAUCAUGCUCAGAUUUCAUCACAUAGCGGUUCACCAUACGUGCAUGCUACGGGAAUCACUAACUUCAACACAAGUNNNNNNNNNNGUCAUGAAGAACUCAUAUACUUGUUGCAAAAAAUUUAUUAGUAAUCGAAUAAAGCAUUCAACGCAUACUCCUAGGGGAAGGGUUGGUAGGUAUAAACCAUCGCGCGAUCCCGACCGCCACACAAAGGAUGACAAUCAAUAGACUAAUCAUGCUCAGACUUCAUCACAUAGAGGUUCACCAUACGUGCAUGCUACGGGAAUCACUAACUUCAACACAAGUNNNNNNNNNNAUAUAACUUCAAUAUUACCAUAACCACAACUCAAAACUAGUUGAGAUGAAUCAAACUUCUCUAACUAUUCAAUGCACAUGAAGGUGGAAGUUUUCGUAUCCCUUUGGAUAACUACCCCUUUUGAGACUACUUUCAUAGCAUAGAUCAACUACCAAGCCAUGCAUUGCCGUGCUCUAUUAGAUAUAAGUGAAGUACAUAGAGCAAAAUCAACUAGCUCAAAAGAUAUAAGUGAAGCACAUGUGAGCUGAAUUGUCUACCACAGGAUAUAAGUGAAGCUCGACAAAAUCACGGUGAGUGCAUGUCUCUCUCUCUCUCUAGGUGUGCAGCAAGGAUGAUUGUGACACAAAAAAAAUAAAAGACUCCUAAGAUACAAGACGCUCCAAGCGAAACACAUAACAUGUGGUGAAUAAAAAUAUAGCCCCAAGUAACGUUAUCGAUGGAUUGAAGACGAAAGAGGGGAUGCCUUCCCGGGGCAUCNNNNNNNNNNNNNNNNNNNNNNNNNNNNNNNNNNNNNNNNNNNNNNNNNNNNNNNNNNNNNNNNNNNNNNNNNNNNNNNNNNNNNNNNNNNNNNNNNNNNAAAGGAUGAUUGUGACACAACAAAGAUAAAAGACUCCUACGACCCAAGACGCUCCAAGCAAAAACACAUAACAUGUGGUGAAUAAAAAUAUAGCCCCAAGUAACGUUACCAAUGGAUUGAAGACGAGAGAGGGGAUGCCUUCCUGGGGCAUCCCCAAGCUUAGGCUUUUUGGCAUCCUUGAAUCAAAUUGGGGUGCCUUGGGCAUCUCCAAGCUUGAGCUCUUGCCACUCUUUAUCUCUUUGUCCAUAAGAACUUCACCCAGAACUUGAAAACUUCACGACACAAAACUUAAACAGAAACUCGUGAUAUCAUUAGUAUAAGAAAGCAAAUCACCACUUCUUUAAGUACUGUAGCAAACUUAAAUUCUACUUAUGUUGGUGUUGGGUUUCUGUAUUUUUACUUUUCCAUGGCUAGUACCCUCCGAUACUAUCCAUAAUUUCAUCAAAAUAAGCAACCAACUCAACAAAAACAGAAUCUGUUAACAGCAGACCAGUCUGUAGCAAUCUGUAUACUUUGUAUACUUCUGGUGCUUCAAAAAAUCUGAACAAUUACGACAGUCUGAAGAAAUUGCGUAGAAAUAAGAAGCAAAAAGAAUCUACUCAAAAGCUCUUACAGAAUAAAAACGAAAAUUAUUUUCGUGAGCAGAAAGUUUGUGUCUUUUCCAGCAUGAUCAAACAAUCAUCACCAAGACUAAUCAUAAUGGUUUUGCUUGGCACAAACACAAAAAGAAACACAAAAGACACAAUCAUAACAGAAUUAUGAUGGUGUGGAGAAAACAAAACUGGAACCAAAAAGCAAAGAAAAAUUUAUUCAUUGGGUUGCCUCCCAACAAGCGCUAUCGUUUAACGCCCUUAGCUAGGCAUUGAUUUCAAUGAUGCUCACAUAAAAGGUAAGGAUUGAAACACAACGAGAGCAUCAUGGAGCAAAUGGCUAGCACAUUUAAGUCUAACCCACUUCCUGGAUUUUGUGAUCAAACAAUUUAUUGGAGCAAUAAUCAACUAGCAUAGGAAGGCAAAACAAGCAUAGCUUCAAACAUUUCAACAUAUGGAGAGGAAGCUUGAUACUAUUGCAAUAAGUAGAAGNNNNNNNNNNAUGCAUAGGGAUUUUGUGAUCAAACAAUUGAUUGGAGCAGGAAUCAACUAGCAUCGGAAGGCAAACUUCAAAAAUUUCAACAUAUGGAGAGGAAGCUUGAUACUAUUGCAAUAAGUAGAAGCAUAUGAUCCUCUCUCAUAGUAAUUUUUAGUAACAUCAUGAAUGAAUUCAACAAUAUAACCAGCACCUAAAGCAUUCUUUUCAUGAUCUACAAGCAUAGAAAUUUUACUACUCUCCACAUAAGGAAAUCUUUUCUCAAGAAUAGUAGUGGGAUUAUCGUAAAAGACUUGAGCACUACAAAUUGUGUCCACUAUGAAAAAGCAAGGUUUAGCAAAGGGGUUUUAGAAAGUAUGACAAGUUUUAUCAUCCCUCUUCUUCAAAGCAUAAGUAUUCUCACAAUAAUCAUCAAAGAUAGGGGGCAUUCUUUCAUCAAAAUAAUUUUGAUCAUUCAAAGUGGAAGAACUAAAAAUAUCAUCUUCAUCAAAUAUAGCAUCCCCAAGCUCGUGGCUUUGCAUAUCAUUAGCAUCAUGGGUAUUCAAAGAAUUCAUGCUAAAAACAUUGCAAUCAUGCUCAUCCUUCACUUAUUCUAUGCCAAGCAUUCUAUGUAAUUCUUCUUUCAGCACUUGAGCACUAUUUUCCUUCCCAUAAUGCUCACGAAAGACAUUGAAAAGAUGGAGCAUAUGAGGCAUCCUCAAUUCCAUUUUUUUGUAGUUUUCUAGCUAAAGAACAAGAAACAAAAAGAUUCGAUUGCAAGAUCUAAAGAUAUACCUUCAAGCGCUAACCUCCCUGGCAACGGCGCCAGAAAAGAGCUUGAUGUCUACUACGCAACCUUCUCCUUGUAGACGUUCUUGGGCCUCCAAGUGUAGAGGGUUGUAGGACAGUAGCAAUUUUCCCUCAAGUGGGUGACCUAAGGUUUAUAAAUCCAUGGGAGGCGUAGGAUGAAGAUGAUCUCUCUCAAGCAACCCUGCAACCAAAUAACAAAGAGUCUCUUGUGUCCCCAACACACCUAAUACAAUGGUAAGUUGUAUAGGUGCACUAGUUCGGCGAAGAGAUCGUGAUACAAGUGCAAUAUGGAUGGUGGAUAUAGGUUUUUGUAAUCUGAAGUUACAAAAACAGCAAGGUAACUAGUAACAAAAGUGAGCACGAACGGUAUUGCAAUGUGUGGAAACAAGGCCUAGGGUUCAUACUUUCACUAGUGAAGUUCUCUUAACAAUGAUAACAUAAUUGGAUCAUAUAACUAGCCCUCAACAUGCAACAAAGAGUCACUCCAAAGUCAUUAAUAGCGGAGAACAAACGAAGAGAUUAUUGUCGGGUAUGAAACCACCACAAAGUUAUUCUUUCUUAUCGAUAUAUUUAAGAGUCUGUAGUAAAAUAACACGAAGCUAUUCUUUCCGUUCGAUCCAUCAUAGAGNNNNNNNNNNCCAUACUUUCACUAGUGAAGUUUUCUCAACAAUAAUAACAUAAUUGGAUCAUAUAAAUAGCCCUCAACAUGCAACAAAGAGUCACUCCAAAGUCACUAAUAGCGGAGAACAAACGAAGAGAUUAUUGUCUGGUACGAAACCACCACAAAGUUAUUCUUUCUGAUCGAUCUAUUCAAGAGUCCGUAGUAAAAUAACACGAAGCUAUUCUUUCCGUUCGAUCCAUCAUAGAGUUCGUACUAGAAUAACACCUUAAGAUACAUAUCAACCAAGACCCUAAUGUCACGUAGAUACUCCAUUGUCACCUCAAGUAUCCGUGGGCAUGAUUAUACGAUAUGCAUCACAUAAUCUCACAAUCAUCUAUUCAACCAACACAUAGAACUUCAAAGAGUGCCCCAAAGUNNNNNNNNNNNAUCACCUGAAGUAUCUGUGGGCAUGAUUAUACAUAUGCAUCACAUCAUCUCAGAAUCAUCUAUUCAACCAACACAUAGAACUUCAAAGAGUGCCCCAAAGUUUCUACCGGGGAGUCAAAACGUGUGCCAACCCCUAUGCAUAGGUUCCCAAUGUCACAAACCCGCAAGUUGAUCACCAAAACAUACAUCGAGUACUCAGAUGAAUCAAACGUGUGCCAACCCAUAUGCAUAGGUUCCAAAUGUCACANNNNNNNNNNACAAAACAUACAUCAAGUACUCACAUGAAUCAAACGUGUGCCAACCCAUAUGCAUAGGUUCCAAAUGUCACAAACCCGCAAGUUGAUCACAUCAGAUAGACACGUGAAAGACAUACAUCAAGUGUUCUCAAAGACUCAAUCCGAUAAGAUAACUCCAAAGGGGAAACUCAAUUCAUUACAAGAGGGAGAGGGGGAAGAACAUCAUAAGAUCCAACUAUAGUAAAAAAGCUCAUGGUACAUCGAGAUCAAGAUAUCUCAAGAACACGAGAGAGAGAGAGAGANNNNNNNNNNCACUGAGGGAGAACUACUCCCUCCUCGUCAUGGAGAUCGCCGGGAUGAUGAAGAUGGCCACCGGAGAUGGAUUUCCCCUCUAGCAGGGUGCCGGAACGGGCUCCAGAUUGGUUUUUGGUGGCCACAGAGGCUUGCGGCGGCGGAACUCCCAAUCUAGGUUUCUUUUUGGGGGUUUCUGAAUUUAUAGGUAUUUAUGGCGGUGGAAUUACGUUGGUUGGGCCCACGAGGAGGUCACAAGCUUGGUCGCCACCACCUAGGGGGGUGGUGGCGGCGUCAGGGCUUGUGACUCCCUCGUGGCUCUUCUGNNNNNNNNNNCUGAGGGAGAACUACUCCCUCCUCUUCAUGGAGAUUGUCGGGAUGAUGAAGAUGGCCACCGGAGAUUGAUCCCCCCUCUGGCAGGGUGCCGGAACGGGCUCCAGAUUGGUUUUUGGUGGCUACGGAGGCUUGCAGCGGCGGAACUCCCGAUCUAGGUUUCUUUUUGUGGGUUUCUGAAUUUACAGGAAUUUAUGGCGGUGGAAUUAUGUCGGUUGGGCCCACGAGGAGGUCACAAGCCUGGUUGCCACAACCUAGGGGGUGGUGGCGGCGUCAGGGCUUGUGACUCCCUCGUGGCUCUUCUGGCCUUCUUUCAAAGCUUUGGGGGUCUCUUUUGGUCCAAAAAAAUCAUCGUAAAGUUUCAUUCCAUUUGGACUCCGUCUGAAAAUCGGCCAAAAACACGAAAAAAAUAGAAACUGGCACUUGGCACUGAGUUAAUAGGUUAGUCCCAAAAAAAGAUAUAAAAUAGCAUAUUCAUGCAUAUAAAACAUCCAAAGUUGACAAGAUAAUAGCAUGGAACCAUCAAAAAUUAUAGAUACGUUGGAGACGUAUCAAGCAUCCCCAAGCUUAACNNNNNNNNNNAAAAAUGGGCCAAAAACACGAAAAAAACAGAAACUGGCACUUGGCACUGAGUUAAUAGGUUAGUCCCAAAAAAUAUAUAAAAUAGCAUAUUCAUGCAUAUAAACAAUCCAAAGUUGACAAGAUAAUAGCAUGGAACCAUAAAAAAUUAUAGAUACGUUGGAGACGUAUCAAGCAUCCCCAAGCUUAACUCCUGCUCGUCCUCAAGUAGGGAAGUGAUAAAGAAUGAAUUUUUGAUGCUUUCAUGCUACCUAGCAUAGAUGUCCUUUGUAACUCCUCUUAUGUGACAUGAAUGUUCAGAUCCGUUAGACUCAAAACAAUAGUUUUCUAUUGACGUGGAAACAAUAAUUACUGAAGCAAACUAGCAAGGUAAUCAUGAACUUUCGAAAUAACAAGGCCAAAAGAAAGUUAUCCCUACAAAAGCAUAUAGUCUGGCUAUGCUCUAUCAUCAUUGCACAACGAAUUUAAAUCUUGCACAACCCCGUUAUUGGCCAAGUAAUUGUUUCACGCCUUUACUUUCUCAAACCUUUUCAACUCUCACGCAAUACAUGAGCGUGAGCCAUGGUUUUAGCAAUAUAGAUGGUGUGGAGUGUGGUGGAGGUUGCAAGACAAAAAAGGAGAAGAUAAUCACAUUAACUAGGCAUACCAAUGAGCUGUGGAUAUGCUCAUCAAUAGAUAUCAAUGUGAAUGAGUAGGGAUUGCCAUACAAAUGAUGCNNNNNNNNNNNNNNNNNNNNNNNNNNNNNNNNNNNNNNNNNNNNNNNNNNNNNNNNNNNNNNNNNNNNNNNNNNNNNNNNNNNNNNNNNNNNNNNNNNNNNNNNNNNNNNNNNNNNNNNNNNNNNNNNNNNNNNNNNNNNNNNNNNNNNNNNNNUUGGAAAUAUGCCCUACAUGCAAUAAUAAAAUGGUUAUUAUCAUAUUUCCUUGUUCAUGAUAAUCGUCUAUUGUUCAUGCUAUAAUUGUAUUAACAGGAAACAGUAAUACAUGUGUGAAUAAAUAGAUCACAAUGUGUCCCUAGCAAGCCUCUAGUUGGCUAGCUCGUUAGUCAAUAGAUGAUCAUGGUUUCCUGAUCAUGGGCAUUAGAUGUCAUUGAUAACGGGAUCACAUCAUUGGGAGAAUGAUGUGAUGGACAAGACCCAAUCCUAAACAUAGCACUAGAUCGUGUUGUUCGUAUGCUAAAGCUUUUCUAAUGUCAAGUGUCUUUUCCUUCGACCGUGAGAUUGUGCAACUCCCGGAUACCAUAGGAAUGCUUUGGGUGUAUCAAACGUCACAACGUAACUGGAUGACUAUAAUGGUGCACUACGGGUACCUCUGAAAGUGUCUGUUGGGUUGGUACGAAUCAAGAUCAGGAUUUGUCACUCCGUGUGACGGAGAGGUAUCUCUGGGCCCACUCGGUAGAACAUCAUCAUGAGAUCAAUGUGACUAAGGAGUUAGUCAAACGAUUACGUGUUACGGAACGAGUAAAGAGACUUACCGGUAACGAGAUUGAACAAGGUAUAGGUAUACCGACGAUCGAAUCUCGGGCAAGUUCUAUACCGACAGACAAAGGUAAUUGUAUACGGGAUUGAUUGAAUCCUUGACAUCGUGGUUCAUCCGAUGAGAUCAUCGUGGAGCAAGUGGGAGCCACCAUGGNNNNNNNNNNCAGACCCCGCUGAUGGUUAUUGGCCAGAGAGGUGUCUCGGUCAUGUCUGCGUGUCUCCCGAACCCGUAGGGUCUACACACUUAAGGUUCAGUGACGCUAGUGUUAUAGGGAAUUGUUAUACGAGGUUACGGAAAGUUGUUCGGAGUCCCGGAUGAGAUCCCGAACGUCACGAGGAGCUCCGGAAUGGUCCGGAGGUAAAUAUUGAUAUAUAGGACGGAUGGUUUCGGACACCGGAAGUGUUUCGGGCAUCACCGGUAACGUACCGGGACCACCAGAGGUGGCCCCGGGGGUCCACCGAAGGGGGGCAACGACCCCGGGAGGUAAGAUGGGCCAAGUAGAGGAGGGAACCAGCACCUAGGUGGGCUGGUGCGCCUCCCCACUCAGCCCAAUGAACAGGGGGGUGAAAAGGGGGGGCAAACCCUAAGCCAGGUGGGCCUAAGGCCCACCAGGGGUGCGCCACACCCCUCCUUCCCCCCUUGGCCACCGCACCAGCCCCAUCUAGGGCUGCCCCCUAGGAGGGGGAAACCCUGAAGGGGGCGCAUCCCCUCCCUUCCCCUAUAUAUACCGGGCAAUUUUGGCCAUUGGGAGAUAGACUUUUCCCUCUCUCUCGGCGCAGCCCUGCCCUUCUUCCUCCUCCUCUCUGCAGGUGCUUGGCGAAGCCUUGCCGAGAGACCUCGUCUCUCCAUCAACACCACGCCGUCGUGCUGCUCGAUUUCUUCCCCAACCUCUCCCUCCUCCUUGCUGGAUCAAGGUGCGGGAGACGUCACCGGGCUGCACGUGUGUUGAACGCGGAGGUGCCGUAAUUCGGCACUAGAUCAGAAUCGCUGCGAGUACGACUCCAUCAACCACGUUCUAGCAACGCUUCCGCUUAGCGAUCUUCAAAGGUAUGAAGAUGCUCUUACCCCUCUAUCGUUGCUGGUCUGUCCAUAGAAAGAUCUGAAUAUGCGUAGGAAAAUUUUGAAUUUAUGCUACGUUACCCAACAACUAGUGGGUGUGCAUCCAACUUGCUUGCUCACGAAGUCCUAAGGCAAUUUUGAGGAAGCCUAUCAUUGGAAGAUACAAGCCAAGUGAUAUAAUGAAAAUUUCCUACUAGCUAUAUGGUGGUGACAAAACGAGAGACUCUCAAUCAUGAAGAUCAUGGUGCUUAAUAUCCACAAGUGUGGAAAAGUGGUAGCAUUGUCCCUUCUCUCUUUUUCUCUCAUAUAUUAUUUUUGGUGGGCUCUUUGGCCUCUUUUUUUAUUUUUUUAUUUUUAUUUUGGUGGGCAUAUUUGGCCAAUUUUAUUUCCUCACAUGAGAAAAUGCUCCAUCAAUGAUGAUCAUCACACUUUCAACUCAAAACUUAGAGCAACGAUGACUCUAUAUGGAAUGCCUUGGGUAGUGUACCGUGACAAUGAUCUAGCAUGGCAUAGACAUUAAAGGAAACAUCAUGCUAGCUAUCUUACAAUCAUGCAAUGGCAAUGUAGAUGUGGUGUCACAUGUCAUGGUGGUAGUUGCAAGGCAAUAUAUCUCGGAAUGACUUUGAAAAAGCCAUAGUAGGUAGGUAUGGUGGCUGUUUUGAGGGAGGCUAAUGGUGGNNNNNNNNNNCCACCUCAAGUAUCCGUGGGCAUGAUUAUACAAUAUGCAUCACAUAAUCUCAGAAUCAUCUAUUCAACCAACACAUAGAACUUCAGAGAGUGCCCCAAAGUUUCUACCAGAGAGUCAAAACGUGUGCCAACCCCUAUGCAUAGGUUCCCAAUGUCACGAACCCGCAAGUUGAUCACCAAAACAUACAUCGAGUACUCACAUGAAUCAAACUGUGCUAACCCAUAUGCAUAGGUUCCAAAUUUCACAAACCCGCAAGUUGAUCACAUCAGAUAGACACGCGAAAGACAUACAUUAAGUGUUCUCAAAGACUCAGUCCGAUAAGACAACUCCAAAGGGGAAACUCAAUUCAUUACAAGAGGGAGAGGGGGAAGANNNNNNNNNNGAAGCCCAUGGUACAUCGAGAUCAAUAUAUCUCAAGAACACGAGAGAGAGAGAUCAAACACAUAGCUACUGGUACAUACCCUCAGCCCCGAGGGAGAACUACUCCCUCCUUGUCAUGGAGAUCGCCGGGAUGAUGAAGAUGGCCACCGGAGAUGGACUCCCCCUCUGGCAGGGUGCCGGAACGGGCUUCAGAUUGGUUUUUGGUGGCUACAGAGGCUUGCGGCGGCAGAACUACCGAUCUAGGUUUCUUUUUGGGGGUUUCUGAAUUUAUAGGAAUUUAUGGCGGUGGAAUUACGUCGGUUGGGCCCACGAGGAGGUCACAAGCCUGGUCGCCGCCACCUAGGGGGGGGGGUGGGGGCGUCAGGGCUUGUGACUCCCUCGUGGCUCUUCUAGCCUUCUUUCAAAGCUUCGGGGGUCUCUUUUGGUCCAAAAACAAUCAUCGUAAAGUUUCAUUCCAUUUGGACUCCGUCUGAAAAUGGGCCAAAAACACGGAAAAAACAGAAACGGGCACUUGGCACUGAGUUAAUAAGUUAGUCCCAAAAAAGAUAUAAAAUAGCAUAUUCAUGCAUAUAAAACAUCCAAAUUUGACAAGAUAAUAGCAUGGAACCAUCAAAAACUAUAGAUACGUUGGAGACGUAUCAGGGUCCCAUUGUAAAAUGGGUACCUCUAACCGAGGUUUUAAAUGUGUGUAGGUUGCCUUCUCCGGUGGAGUUAAAUGGGUGAUUGAUAGCGGAUGCACAAAUCAUAUGACCGGAGAUGGCACAUUACUUAUGGACUUCAUGGAAGCAACUCGACCAUUUAUGAGCGGCGGUGGGACUAAAGGACACGUACUUGGGUUGGGCAAGGUAGCCAUCACAAAUGACAUGUCACUUGGAAAUGUGAUGCUUGUCCAAUCCCUUAAAUAUCACUUACUUUAUGUUUGUCAAUUGGCCUCAGUUGGCUAUGAUACACUAUUUUGAUUAACGAAUGUGAAAGUCUUUAAGAGAGAUACUCUUGAAGUUGUCUUUGUGGGGGAGUUGGACGGCAGCCUUUAUACAGUUGAUUUCUCGAAAGCGAGCACAUUCCAUGCAACUUGCCUCAUGGACAAGGCCGAAAAGGAAUGGCUAUGCCAUUACGGGAUAGCCCAUGUCGGUAUGAGAAAUAUUCAAGAUCUAUUAAAGGGUGAACACAUUCUUGGACUAACCAAUGUAUCGUUUGAGAAAGAUCGUGUGUGUAGUGCUUGCAUUGCAGGGAAGCAACAUCAAUCAAAACAUCUUCCCAAGAACAUUGUAUCAACAUCAAGACCCCUGGAGCUCCUUCAUGUGGAUCUCUUUGGGCCUCCUUCAUGGGAUAUCCUCAGUGGGAAGAAGUAUGGGUUUGUCAUUGUCAAAAUAUACAUGGGUGUUCUUUCUUAAAUCCAAGGAUGAGACAAAGAUCACCUUCAUUGACUUUGCCAAGCAAGCUCAACGCAAGUUUGACAAACAAAUCUUGGCAAUAAGAAGUGACAAUGGAUCUGAAUUCAAGAACUACACCUUGGAAGAGUUUCUUAGUGAUGAAGGUAUUGAGCAUCAAUACUCUGCACCAUAUACCCCCACAACAAAAUGGGGUAGCUGAAACAAAGAACCGCACACUUGUGGAAAUGGCAAGAUCCAUGCUGGAUGAGUACAAGUCUCCUCACGGUUUUUCGGCUGAAGCCGUGAACACCGCAUGUCAUGCUUCAAAUCACCUAUUCCUUCGCAAGAUCAUGGAGAAAACACAAUAUGAGCUCAUUACAUGGAAUAAGCCAAAUGUCAAGUAUUUCCGGGUGUUUGUCUGCAAAUGUUUCAUUCUCAACAAGAAAUAAUGGUUAGGAAAAUUUCAAUCUAAAACAACCGAGGGCAUAUUUGUUGGAUAUGGGUUAAACUCUCAUGCCUAUAGGAUCUACAACAAAUCCGCCGGAUGUGUUGCAGAAACUUGUGACGUGGUGUUUGAUGAAUUUAAUGGCUCCCAUGGGGAGCAAGUUGAUCUAAGUGAUGCAGGUGAAUAAGAUCCUUCACAAGACAUCUUGACCAUGGGUGUAGGAGCUCUCCUUCUGAUGGAACAUGUUCCCUAUGGAAGUGAAGAUGAGGACACAAGCACCACACAUACUCAUACAACAACUAUGCCUCUGCCACCACAUGAUAUCAUCCCUAAAGUGGAGUCCAUAGUUCAAGAACAACAAUAUGUUCAUGAUCAAGUACAAGAACAAGAUCAAGUUCAUCAUCAAGUAAAAGACCAAGAACAUGCAUAUGUCGACAUUGAUGAAACUGCUGAUGAUGAUGAACCUCAACAAAUGAUGCAUGAAGAUCUUCCUCCACACAUUCUGGAUCCUUCUGUGGAGGAUGUUGAUGAUGGGAACAAAGUUGAACCUCGUGAAACCUUAACCUCCAUCAUCCCUCGUGUGGCUGGUCGCGUUGACGUAGACCAAAUUCUCACCAAUAUAUCGGAAGGUAGAGCCACUCGUAAACAAUUGACAAACUUUUGUGCUCACUUUUCCUUUGUCUCUAGUGUUGUGCCUCUUAAGGCACAAGAUACGUUGAUGGAUCACGACUGGCUUGUCACUAUGCAAGAAGAGUUGCACAUCUUCGAGCGCAACCAAGUGUUGUCUUUAGUCCGAAGACCAACUAAGGAGCACAAUGUCAUUGGAACAAAGUGGAUCUUCAAGAACAAACAAGAUGAAAAUGGUGUUAACAUCACAAACAAGGGAAGGUUAGUGGCACAAGGGUUCUCACAGGUUGAAGGUUUGGACUUUGAUGAGACCUUUGCCCCCGUUGCCCGUCUUGAAUCAAUUCACAUUUUAGUUGCUUAUGUUGCCUUCAAUGGUUUUACUUUACACCAAAUGGACGUUAAGAGUGCUUUUAUUAACGUCCCACUACAAGAAGAAGUAUAUGUUGCACAACCACCUGGGUUUAUUGACCCCGAUCACAAAGAUUAUGUGUACAAACUUCACAAGGCCUUGUAUGGCCUCAAACAAGCACCUUGUGCUUUCUAUGAUCAUCUUAAGAAGUUUCUACUCGAUGAUGGUUUUGUGAGAGGGGUGAUUAACCCUACUCUCUUCACUAAGAGGGGAAAGGUGAUUUAAUCUUGUGUCAAAUUUACGUAGAUGAUAUCAUUUUUUGUUCCCCUAACAUUCAUUUAUGCAAGAAAUUUGCGGACUCCAUGACAAAAUACUUUGAAACGUCACUGGACACGGAUUUGAAAUUCUUUCUCGGUUUCCAAAUCCAACAAUGUCAAGAAGGAAUAUUUCUAUCUCAAACCAAGUACUUAAAGGAUAUUCUUGCAAAGUUCGGCAUGACAAACACUAGUCCAUGCAAGGUACCCAUGCCAACCACAGCCUCUCUUAACGAGGACACAAACGGUAUUCCAUUUGACCCAUCUAUUUACCGCUCUAUGAUUGGUUCAUUACUUUAUCUUUGUGCAUAUACACCAGACAUCACGUUAAGUGUAGGCAUUUGUGCUAGAUUUCAAGCUUCCCCGAAGGAAAGCCAUAAUAAGGCGGUUAAGCAUAUUCUUAGAUACCUUGUUCACACCCCAAGCUUGGGUCUAUGGUACCCCAAGGAUGCCAAGUUUGAUCUCAUUGGAUACACAUAUGCAGAUUGGGCAGGAGACAAAGUGGGAAGAAAAUCCACCUCCGGGGCUGCUACGACGACACAAGAUUGAUUGCAAAGUGAGAUCUCAAGGCGGAAAGUGCAACGAAGUAAAAGUGUAAGGCUGAAAAUAUGAUGUGAAGUAGACCCGGGGGCCAUAGUGUUCACUAGAGGCUUCUGUCAAAAUAGCAAAUAUUAGGGUGGGUGAACAAAUUACUGUCGAGCAAUUGAUAGAACCGUGCAAAGUCAUGACGAUAUCUAAGGCAAUGAUCAUACAUAUAGGCAUCAUGUCUGAGACAAGUAGACCGAUAGUUUCUGCAUCUACUACUAUUACUCCACACAUCGACCGCUAUCCAGCAUGCAUCUAGUGUAUUGAGUUCAUGACGAACAAAGUAACGCCUUAAGCAAGAUGACAUGAUGUAGAGGGAUAAACUCAAACCAAUGAUGAAACCCCCAUCUUUUUACCCUUGAUGGCAACAACAUGAUGCGUGCCUCGCUACCCCUUUUGUCACUGAGUGAGGUCACCGCACGGUAUGAACCCAAAACCAAGCACUUCUCCCAUUUCAAGAAUCAUAGAUCUAGUUGGCCAAACAAAACCCACAACUCGAAGAGAAUUACCAGGAUAUGAAAUCAUGCAUAAGAGAGAUCAGAAGAAACUCAAAUAAGAUUCAUAGAUAAUCUGAUCAUAAAUCCACAAUUCAUCGGAUCUUGACAAACACACCACAAAAGAAGAUUACAUCGGAUUUACUCCAUGAAGAUCAUGGAGAACUUUGUAUUGAAGAUCCAAGAGAGAGANNNNNNNNNNCUACUAGCUAUGGACCCAUAGGUCUGUGGUGAACUACUCACGCAUCAUCGGAGAGGUCAUAGUGUUGAUGAAGAAGCCCUCCGUAUCCGAAUCCCCCUCCGGCAGGGCACCAGAACGUGCCCCAGAUGGGAUCUUGCGGAGACAGAAGCUUGCAGCGGCGGAAAAGUACUUUUGAUGAUCUCUUGAUUUUUUCUGGGAUUUUAGGGAAUAUAUAGGCGGAAGACCUAGGGAGAGGUGGCCCAGGGAUCCCACAAGCCUCGGAGGCGCGGGCCCCCCCUAGCCGCAGCUAGGGGGCUUGUGGGGUCCCUGCUGGCCCCUGCACUGAUUCUCAAGCUUCCCGAUCUUCUUUUGUUUUGGAAAAAAUCUUUUUGGAAGUUUCGUUCCGUUUGGACUCCGUUUGAAAUCCUCCUCUAAAAGGGGUCAAAAACAUGGAAAAAAACAGGAACUGGCACUUGGCACUGAGUUAAAAAGUUAGUCCCAAAAAAGAUAUAAAAGGCAUACAAAACAUCCAAGGUUUGACAAGAUAAUAGCAUGAAACCAUAAAAAAUUAUAGAUACGUUGGAGACGUAUCAAGCAUCCCCAUGCUUAACUCCUGCUCGUCCUCGAGUAGGGAAGUGAUAAAGAAUGAUUUUUGAUGUGGAAUGCUACCUAGCAUAGUUGUCCUUGGCAACUUCUUUCAUGUGACAUGAAUGUUCAUAUCCGUAAGAUUCAAAACAAUAGUUUGCUAUUGACAUGAAAAUAAUAAUACUUCAAGCGAACUAGCAAGGUAAUCAUGAACUUUCAAAAUAACAAGACCAAAGAACGUUAUCCCUACAAAAUCAUAUAGUCUGGCUAUGCUCCAUCAUCCUCACACAACUAAUGUAAAUCAUGCCCAACCCCGGUAUUGGCCAAGUAAUUGUUUUCACACUCUUACUUUCUCAAACCUUUUAUAACUAUCACACAAUACAUGAGUGUGAGCCAUGGAUAUAGCACUAUAUGUGGAAUAGAGUGUGGUGGUAGUUGUGGGACAAAAAAGAGGAGAUGGUCACAUUGACUCGGCGUAUCAAAGGGCUAUGGAGAUGCCCAUUAAUAGAUAUCAAUGUGGAUGAGUAGGGAUUGCCAUACAAAGGAUGCACUAGAGCUAUAAGUAUGUGAAAGCUCAAAAGGAGAACUAGUGGGUGUGCAUCCAACUUGCUUGCUCACGAAGACCUAGGGCAAUUUUGAGGAAGCCCAUCAUUAGAAUAUACAAGCGAAGUUAUAUAAUGAAGAUUCCCACUAGCAUAUGGUGGUGACGAAACGAGAGGCUCUCAAUCAUGAAGAACAUGGUGCUAUUAUGAAGCACAAGUAUGGAAGAAGAUGUAGCAUUGUCCCUUCUCUCUUUUUUCUCUCUUUUUUAAUUUUUAUGGGCUCUUGGGCCUAUUUUUUUGGGCUCUUUGGGCUCUUUUUUAUUUCCUCACAUGGGACAAUGCUCUAAUAAUGAUGAUCAUCACACUUUUAUUUACUCACAUCUCAAAGCUUAGAACGAUGAUGACUCUACAGGAAAUGCCUCCGGCAGUGUACCGGGAUGUGCAACGAUCUAUCUUAGCGUAUGACGUUGAAACAUCUCGCUAGCUAUCUUAUGAUCAUGCAAUGGCAAUAUGAGAGUGACGGAACAAGUCAUGAGACGGAAUGGUGGGAGUUGCAUGGUAAUAUAUCUCGGAAUGACUAUGAAAAUGCCAUAGUAGGUAGGUAUGGUGGCUGUUUUGAGGAAUGCAUAUGGUGGGUUUGUGCAUCGGCGAGAAUUGCGCGGCACUAGGGAGGCUAGCAAUGGUGGAAGGUGAAAGUGCAUCUAUACCAUGGACUCACAUUAGUUAUGAAGAACUCACAUACUUGUUGUGAAAGUUUUUAUUAGUAAUCGAAACAAAGUGCUAAACGCAUACUCCUAGGGGAAGGGUUGGUAGGUGUUAACCAUCGCGUGAUCCCGACCUCAACACAAAGGAUGACAAUCAAUAGAUCAAUUGUGCUCCGACUUCCUAACAUAGCGGUUCACCAUAUGUGCAUGCUACGGGAAUCACUAACUUCAACACAAGUAUUUCUAGAUUCACAACACCUUACUAACAUAACUCUUAAUAUUACCAAAUCCACGUCUGAAAACUAAUUGAGAGGAAUCAAGACUUCUCUUUCUACUCAAUGCACAUGAAGAUGGAGGUUUUUGUAUCCUCUUUGGGUACCUAUCACCUUUGGGACUACUUUCAUAUCAUAAGUCAACUACCAAGUCACGCACCGCCGUGCUCUAAAAGAUCUAAGUGAAGCACAUAGAGCAAAAUUAUCUAGCUCAAAAGAUAUAAGUGAAGCACGAUGAGCAUUCUAGCAAAAUCACGAUGAGUGCAUGUCUCUCUCUAAAGGUGUGUAGCAAGGAUGAUUGUGACACAACAAAAAUAAAAUACUCCUACGAUACAAGACGCUCCAAGCAAAACACAUAUCAUGUGGUGAAUAAAAUAUAGCUCCAAGUAAUGUUACCGAUGGAUUGAAGACAAAAGAGGGGAUGCCUUCCCGAGGCAUCCCCAAGCUUAGGCUUUUUGGUGUCCUUGAAUUUGGCUUGGGAUACCUUGGGCAUACCCAAGCUUGAGCUCUUUCCAGUCCUUAUCUCUUUGUCCAUGAGAACAUCACCCAAAACUUGAAAACUUCACAACACAAAACUUAAACAGAAACUCGUGAUAACAUUAGCACAAGAAAACAAACUACCAUCUCUUUUGGUACUGUAGAAAACUUGAAUUCCAUCUAUAUUGAUGAUGGGCUACUGUAUUCUCACUUUCACAUGGCUAGUACCCCCCCCCCCCCNNNNNNNNNNNNNNNNNNNNNNNNNNNNNNNNNNNNNNNNNNNNNNNNNNNNNNNNNNNNNNNNNNNNNNNNNNNNNNNNNNNNNNNNNNNNNNNNNNNNAUUUACAUGUGUGGAUACAUAGACAAAACACUGUCCCUAGCAAGCCUCUAGUUGGUAGCCUGUUGAUCAAAGAUAGUCAGUGUCUUCUGAUUAUGAACAAGGUGUUAUUGCUUGAUAACUGGAUCACGUCAUUAGUAGAAUCACGUGAUGGACUANNNNNNNNNNAUUCCUGUAUCAAGAUAAUCGUUUAUUAUCCAUGCUAUAAUUGUAUUGAAUGAAGACUCGUUUACAUGUGUGGAUACAAAGACAAAACACUGUCCCUAGCAAGCCUCUAGUUGGCUAGCCAGUUGAUCAAAGAUAGUCAGUGUCUUCUGAUUAUGAACAAGGUGUUGUUGCUUGAUAACUGGAUCACGUCAUUAGUAGAAUCACGUGAUGGACUAGACCCAAACUAAUAGACGUAGCAUGUUGAUCGUGUCAUUUUGUUGCUACUGUUUUCUGCGUGUCAAGUAUUUGUUCCUAUGACCAUGAGAUCAUAUAACUUACUAACACCGGAGGAAUACUUCGUGUGUAUCAAACGUCGCAACGUAACUGGGUGACUAUAAAGAUGCUCUACUGGUAUCUCCGAAGGUGUUUGUUGAGUUAGUAUGGAUCAAGACUGGGAUUUGUCACUCCGUGUGACGGNNNNNNNNNNUGUAUCAAACGUCGCAACAUAACUGGGUGACUAUAAAGAUGCUCUAUAGGUAUCUCCGAAGGUGUUCGUUGNNNNNNNNNNNNNNNNNNNNNNNNNNNNNNNNNNNNNNNNNNNNNNNNNNNNNNNNNNNNNNNNNNNNNNNNNNNNNNNNNNNNNNNNNNNNNNNNNNNNCACUUCACCAUUAUUUGGGCCUAGAGGAAGGCAUUGGAAAGUAGUAAGUAGAUGAUGGGUUGCUAGAGUGACAGAAGCUUAAACCCUAGUUUAUGUGUUACUUCGUAAGGGGCUGAUUUGGAUCCACUAGUUUCAUGCUAUGGUUAGACUUUGUCUUAAUUCUUCUUUCGUAGUUGCGGAUGCUUGCGAAAGGGGUUAAUCAUAAGUGGGAUGCUUGUCCAAGUAAGGGCAGUACCCAAGCGCCGGUCCACCCACAUAUCAAACUAUCAAAGUAACGAACGUGAAUCAUAUGAACAUGAUGNNNNNNNNNNCGUUGCUUCGUAAGGGGCUGAUUUGGAUCCACUAGUUUAAUGUUAUGGUUAGACUUUGUCUUAAUUCUUCUUUCGUAGUUGCGGAUGCUUGNNNNNNNNNNAAAACUAGCAUGACAGAAAUUCCCCUGUGUCCUCGGGAGCGUUUUUCCUCCUAUAAGACUUUGUCCAGGAUUGUCCCUUGCUACAAAAGGGAUUUGGCCACUUUGCUGCACUGUUGCUACUUUUGUUACUUGUUGCUUGCUACGAAUCAUCUCACCACACAAUCACUUGUUACCGACAAUUUCAGUGCCUGCAGAUUUUACCUUGCUGAAAACCACUUGUCAGAUCCUUCUGCUCCUCGUUGGGUUUGACACUCUUACUUAUCAAAAGGACUACGAUUGAUCCCCUAUACUUGUGGGUCCUCAAGACUCUUUUCUAGCGCCGUUGCCGGGGAGUGAAGCGCCUUUGGUAAGUGGAACUUGGUAAGGAAACAUUCNNNNNNNNNNNNNNNNNNNNNNNNNNNNNNNNNNNNNNNNNNNNNNNNNNNNNNNNNNNNNNNNNNNNNNNNNNNNNNNNNNNNNNNNNNNNNNNNNNNNGGGAGCAACCCACCCCGGGGAAGCCCAUAGGCCUUGAGGGUGGCGCAUCAGCCCUUAGUGGGCUGGUGGGACAGCCCAAAAGGGCCCUAUGUGCAUUGGAAGAAAAAUCAAAGAGAAAAAAAAGGAGGAGGUGGGAAAGGAAAGAAGGACUCCACCCACCAAACCAAGUAGGACUCGGUUUGGGGGGGGGGGUCCUUCCCCCCUUUGGCUCGGCGGCAAGGUCCCCCCUCUCCCACCUAUAUAUAUGGAGGUUUUAGGGCUGAUUUGAGACGACUUUUCCACGGCAGCCCGACCACAUACCUCCACGGUUUUUCNNNNNNNNNNUAGAUCGCGUUUCUGCGGAGCUCGGGCGGAGCCCUGCUGAGACAAGGUCAUCACCAACCUCCGGAGCGCCGUCACGCUGCCGGAGAACUCUUCUACCUCUUCGUCUCUCUUGCUGGAUCAAGAAGGCCGAGAUCAUCGUCGAGCUGUACGUGUGCUGAACGCGGAGGUGCCGUCCGUUCGGUACUAGAUCGUGGGACUGAUCGCGGGAUUGUUCGUAGGGCGGAUCAAGGGACGUGAGGACGUUCCACUACAUCAACUGCGUUCACUAACGCUUCUGCUGUACGGUCUACAAGGGUAUGUAGAUCACUCAUCCCCUCUCGUAGAUGGACAUCACCAUGAUAGGUCUUCGUGCGCGUAGGAAAUUUUUUGUUUCCCAUGCGAGGUUUCUCAACAGUGGCAUCAUGAGCUAGGUUCAUGCGUAGAUGUCUUCUCGAGUAGAACACAAAAGUUUCUGUGGGCGGUGAUGUGCGUUUUGCUGCCCUCCUUAGUCUUUUCUUGAUUCCGCGGUAUUGUUGGAUUGAAGCGGCUUGGACCGACAUUACUCGUACGCUUACGAGAGACUGGUUUCAUCGCUACGAGUAACCCCGUUGCUCAAAGAUGACUGGCAAGUGUCGGUUUCUCCAACUUUAGUUGAAUCGGAUUUGACCGAGGAGGUCCUUGGAUGAGGUUAAAUAGCAACACAUAUAUAUUCGUUGUGGUGUUUGCGUAAGUAAGAUGCGAUCCUAGUAGAUACCCAUGGUCACCACGUAAAACAUGCAACAACAAAAUUAGAGGGCGUCUAACUUGUUUUUGCAGGGUAUGCUUGUGAUGUGAUAUGGCCAAGAUGUGAUGUGAUAUAUUGGAUGUAUGAGAUGAUCAUGUUGUAAUAGAUAAUAUCGACUUGCACGUCGAUGGUACGGCAACCGGCAGGAGCCAUAGGGUUGUCUUUAUACUAACGUUUCUGCUUGCAGAUGCGUUUACUAUUUUGCUAGGAUGUAGCUUUAGUAGUAAUAGCAUGAGUAGCACAACAACCCCGAUGGCGACACGUUGAUGGAGAUCAUGGUGUGGCGCCGGUGACAAGAAGAUCGUGCCGGUGCUUUGGUGAUGGAGAUCAAGAAGCACGUGAUGAUAGNNNNNNNNNNNNNNNNNNNNNNNNNNNNNNNNNNNNNNNNNNNNNNNNNNNNNNNNNNNNNNNNNNNNNNNNNNNNNNNNNNNNNNNNNNNNNNNNNNNNUCAAGUGAAUUUAUAAAAUUCCUAGACUCAGAGCAAAAGUUUCUGUUUUUCAGCAGAAUCAACUUGCAAAUAUUAGUACUUUUGUAAUAAUUGUGUUUUCUCAUUUUAAUUAGUGUUUGAGCCAAGUAAAAUCUUUGGGAUGGUCCAUGGUGUUUGCAAGUUGAUUCUGCUGAAAAACAGAAACUUUUGCUCUGAGUCUAGGAAUUUUAUAAAUUCACUUGAAUGUACUUUUGAUCUGAAUUGUUUACACAAGAUUGGUUUACCAAAUUCACAGAUCGUCCUAUUUUUUCAGAAUUUGUGGAGUUACACAAGUAUUUGAAGUAAAUAGGUUGCUACAGACUAUUUUGUUUUUGACAGAUUCUGUUUUCUUUGUAUUGUUUUCUUAUUUUUAUGAAUCUAUGGGUUGUAUCGGGGGGUAUGAACCAUGGAGAAGUUGGAAUACAGUAAAUAUUACAUCAAUAUAAAUAAAGAAUGAGUUCACAACAGUACCUAAGUGGUGAUUUAUUUUUCUUAUACUAACGGAUCUCAUGAGUUUUCUGUUGAAUUUUGUGUUGUGAAGUUUUCAUGUUUUGGGUAAAGAUUUGAUGGACUACGGAAUAAGGAGUGGCAAGAGCCUAAGCUUGGGGAUGACCAAUGCACCCCAAGCCAUAUUCAAGGAUACCAAAGAGCCUAAGCUUGGGGAUGCCCCGGAAGGCAUCCCCUCUUUCGUCUUCAAUCCAUGGGUAAAUUUACUUGAGGCUAUAUUUUUAUUCACCACAUGAUAUGUGUUUUUCUUGGAGCGUCUUGUAUGAUAUGAGUAUUUACUUUCUAGUUUGACACAAUCAUCCUUGCUGCACACACCUUUUGAGCGAGAGACAUGCUGAAUCAUGAAUUUAUUAGAAUACUCUUUAAGCUUCACUUAUAUAUUUUUGCUAGGCAAUGUUGCUCUAGUACUUCACUUAUAUCUUUUAGUGCACGGCGGUGUUUUGUUUUAUGGAAAUUUUUAAACUCUCAUACUUCACUUAUAUUAUUUUGAGAGUUCUUUAAGCGGCAUGGUAAUUGGUUUUGGUUAUGAAUUUAGUCCUAAUAUAAUAGGCGUCCAAGAGGGAUAUAAUAAAAACUUUCAUAUUAAGUGCAUUGAAUAUGAUGAGAAGUUUGAUUCUUUGCAUAUAGUUUUGAGGUGUGAAGAUGGUAAUAUGAGAGUCAUGCUAGUAAGUAAUUUUUAAUUAGAACAAAUACUUGUGACGAAGCUUGUGAUUCCCGUAGCAUGCAUGUAUGGUGAACCAUUAUGUGAUGAAGUCGGAGCAUGAUUUGUCUAAUGAUUGACAACCUUUGUGUGGAGGUCGGGAUCGCGCGAUGGUUAACUCCUACCAACCCUUCCCCUAGGAGCAUGCGUCUAAUACUUUGAUUCGAUAAGUAAUAGGCUUCUGCAAUAAGUAUGUGAGUUCUUUAUGACUAAUGUUGAGUUCAUGGAUUAUACGCACUCGCACCCUUUCACCUUUGCUAGCGUCUCUAGUAACGCGCAACUUUCGCCGGCACAUUAAACCCACCUUCCUCAAAACAGACACCAUAUAUUUACCUCAGAACAUCCACCAUACCUACCUAUUAUGGCAUUUUCAUAACCAUUCCGAGAUAUAUUGCCAUGCAACACCACCGUCUAGUUUUUAUGACAUGCGCCAUCACUUCCACAUUGCUUAUAGAGUCAUACUUUCUUCUAGAUAUCGAGUUGUAAUCUAUGAGCUGUAAUUAAAUAAAAGUGUGAUGAUUUGCAUUAUUAGAGCAUUGUCCCGUGUGAGAAAAAUGAGGAUGGAAGCUAUGCUUCCCUCACAAGUUGGGAUGAGUCUCCAGACUUUACAAAAAACAAAAGAGGCCAGCAAAGCCCAUAAAAAAUAAAAGAUGCCAAAGAAGCCUAUCCAAAAAAGAAGAAAAAUUGAGAGAAAGAGAGAAGGGACAAUGCUACUAUCUUUUUCCACACUUGUGCUCCAAAAUAGCACCAUGUUCUUCAUAGAGAGUCUCCUAUGUUGUCACUUUCAUAUAACUAGUGGGAUUACAUCGUUUGCAAAACUACUUAGUUUUCUUUUUGAGCUUUCAUACACUUAUAGCUCUACUGCAUAUGUUGCAUGGCAAUCCAUACUCACUCACAUUGAUAUCUAUUGAUGGGCAUCUCCAUAGCCCGUUGAUAUUCCUAGUUGAUGUGAGACUAUCUUGUUCCUUUCUUUUUUGCAACCUCCACCAUAUUCUAUUCCACCUAUAGUGCUAUAUCCAUGGCUCACGCUCAUGUAUUGCAUGAGAGUUGAAAAGGUAUGAGAACAUAAAAGGUGUGAAACAAUUGCUUGAUUUUCAUCGGGGUUGUGCAUGAUUUAGAUACAUUGUGUCGUGAAGAUGGAGCAUAGCCAGACCAUAUGAUUUUAUAGCGAUAACAUUCUAAGACCAUGUUAUUUUGAAAGGCAGCAAUUGCCUUAUUAGUAUGCUUGAAAUAUUAUUGUUUUAUGUCAAUUAGACCUUUCUUGAGUCUUAUGGAUCUGAAUAUUCAUUCCACAUUAGAGAAUAUUACAUGGAUAAAUAUGUUAGGUAGCAUUCCACAUCAAAAAUUCUGUUUUUAUCAUUUACCUACUCUAGGACGAGCAGGAAUUAAGCUUGGGGAUGCUGAUAUGUCUCCAAGGUAUCUAUAAUUUUUUAUUGUUCCAUGCUAUUAUAUUAUGUGUUUUGGAUGUUUUAUAUGCAUUUAUAUGUUGUUUCAUAUUAUUUUUGGGACUAACCUAUUAAUCUAGAGCCUAGUGCGAGUUUCUGUUUUUCCCACGUUUUUGAAUAUUGUAGAUAAAUAAUAUUAAACAAAGUCCAAACGGAAUAAAAUCUCCGGAAAAUUUUUUCUUGGACCAGAAGACACGCGGCAGACUUGGGGUAGGGGUCAAGGCAGUUGUCGUGAGGCCAGAAGCGUGCAAGGCGUGCCCUAGGGGGUGGUCGCGCCCCCUGGCUUGUGGCCCCCCUGCAGGUCUCCUAACCCUAAUUCUUGUCCUAUAAAUUCCCAAAUAUUCCCGUAUCGCCAGAAAGAGCCACGAAAAUACUUUUACGCCGCCGGGAGCCUCUGUACCUGAAGAUCCAAUCUGGGAGCCUUUUUCAGUAAUCUAUCGGAGAGGGAAUCGAUCACGGAGGGCAUCUACAUCAAAUCUAUUGCCCCUCCGAUGAAGCGUGAGUAGUUCACCACACACCUACGGGUCCAUAGCUAGUAGCUAGAUGGCUUCCUCUCUCUCUUUGAUCUUCAAUACCAUGUUAUUCAUGAUCUUCAUGGAGAUCUAUCCGAUGUAAUACUCUUUUACGGUGUAUUUGUUGAGAUCUGAUGAAUUGUGAGUUUAUGUUCAGAUUAUUUAUGAAUAUUAUUUGAGUCUUUCCUGAAUUCUUAUAUGCAUGAUUUCAUAUCCUUGCAAGUCACUUCGAAUUAUUUGUUUGGUUUGGCCAACUAGAUUGGUAAUUCUUGCAAUGGGAGAAGUGCUUAGCUUUGGGUUCAAACUUGUGGUGUCCUUACCGAGUGACAGUAGGGGUAACGAGACAUGUAUUAUAUUGUUGCCAUCAAGGAUAAAAAGAUGGGGUUUUCAUAAUAUUGUUUAAGUUUAUCCCUCUACAUCAUGCCAUCUUACUUAACGCGUUACUCUUUUCUUCAUGAACUUAAUACUCUAGAUGCAGGCAGGAGUCGGUCGAUGUGUGGAGUAAUAGUAGUAGAUGCAGAAUCGUUUCGGUCUACUUGUCACGGACGUGAUGCCUACAUGCAUAAUCAUUGCCUUGGGUAUCUUCAUAAUUAUUUGCUUUUCUAUCAAUUGCAAUAGUAAUUUGUUCACCCACCGUAUUAUUUUCCUUUAUGAGAGAAGCCUCUAGUGAAACCUAUGGCCCCUGGGUCUUUUUUCCAUAAUGUAUUUUCAUAUCUAUAAACCGAAAAUACCAAAAAUACUUUGCUGUAAUUUACUUACUUUAGUUUUACUUUCAGAUCUAUCACUAUUUUAUAUAUAUCUCUAUCAGAUCUCAUCCUUGCAAGGGGGGGAUAACUCUGAAGGGAUUGACAACCCCUUUAUAGCGUUGGGUGCAAGUGUUUGAUACUUGUGCAGGUACUACUAUUGGAGCCUUGCUUGUUCCUUCUACUGGAUUGAUACCUUGGUUCCCAACAAACUGAGGGAAAUACUUAUCUACUUCGCUGCAUCACUCUUUCCUCUUCAAGGGAAAACCAAUGCAAGCUCAAGAGGUAGAAAGCACUUCAUUAAAAUCUCCCAAGCUGAGCCAUGGAAGAUUACUAGAAUUUGACAGAUUUUCCAGGGUGUCCCAGGUAAGGUAUAUCUCCUCAGCCUGGGCUUCUCCAUACACCAGAGUCAUAUGCCAUGGAUUAGACCCUAGGCUACCAACAGAAGCAUGAAUGUGAUACUUUGAAUAGCUCAAAAUUUCUAACUUUAUUUCCUUAGUCCAAAAUAUUCCAAGACCACCACUCCUACCAGAGCUGGUAACAACAAAACUUCAUUCAUACCCAAAGGUAGAUGCCAGAGCUUCGACACAUGAACUACUAAUUUGAGUUUUAAAAAUACCGAGCACGGUCGGGGCAAACUUUCUCGCGAGAUCGCGGAUUUCUUGGACCGUCGCGGCAUUGCCCACUCCGCGACAAUUCCACGCCAUGAGACUCAUCGGGCCGGGUGGUCCUCCACGAGGGAGGCCGCCAAAUGUCCAUCAGAUGAAGUAGGUUUGCUUGGGGAGUUUCCCGUACGUGCCUUCUUUCGUUCACUCGGAGAGAUAUAAGAGGGAUGCGCAGGUGGAACAAGCCCAUCCUUGGCUUCCCCUGAGACUUGGUUCUUCUCUGCACCAAGCUUCACUUUGAAACCAACAGAGACAACAUUCAUAUCGAGCUUCCUUGCCGUUUGGGUCUUCUCCCCUUGAUUUCUCUCCUCCGUGCUAACUGGAUCAGUUGUAGGAUGUUCUCUUGGUGGUUCUUCUAAAGGACUCUGAGACGUGUCCUGUUCUCCCUCGUCAUCCUGUAGCCCAGCAUCGUCGGAGCUUCUCUUACAAGGUGCUCCCCAGCCACCUCUGCCCCUUCCACUAAAACCACGUGUGAAGGCAGGCAUGUGCUCAUUUUCCCGAUCGACCCUGGUCGACCUUCUCUUCGCCAAUAGCCCUUUUCCCCACAGAAUCUUCUCUGGCGGGUGAACACCGUCACCACAUUCCUCCUUGUUAUCGCCCAGGAGGCCACAUACUUCGCAAAAAUAUCCUAUCUUUUCAUAUUCGACCUCAAGGAAAAUUCUCUCCCCAGCCUGGUUCAAUGGCUUCGAGACCUCUAUGCUGGCCCAUACAAAAGAUGUAGUUCCCCUCAUAGUAACGUGUAGGGCUCAAUUCCACACUCUGAACGAUCCCUAUCCUCCUUGCCAGUUGAUCAACGAUGGAUUUCUUUCGAAACAAAUUUGGGAUCUUGUGGAUCUGCGCCCGAAACAGCUAUCCUCUCAAGCUUGACUGACUCUGUUUCUCUUUUCCCAUCGAACUCCUCGAUGAGCACCAUGAGUCCCCGGAAGAUCCAUGGGCCUUGGAACAUCACCCUCUUCCAAUAUCCCAGACAAAAAACUUUGAUCCCAAAAAGAUUGUCAUCUACCUCUCUAAACUCAGGCUCAUGCGCUAAGUUCCCAAAUGAUUUUAGGGUUUCCUUCAACGUAGAUGUGCUGAAAGUUUUGGAGGUGUUCAUCCUUGCGAAAGCCAGCCAACGAGACUCCUUUGCAUGUUUUUCAAUCUUCUCUUCCCCGAUAUAGACUUCGUCGAGUUCCCCCUCUUGCACCCUCAUGUGCUUCAUGGCCGCCUCCGGUCCUACAUCAACCUUCUCCUUCCCGCUCUCACACCUCUGCGUGCCUGAGCCAGACGCAGCCAUUGACAAAAACUCAACGCCGGAUAGUGAAAAACCCUAGUCGUUGCACGCGGCUAGGUCAUACGCUAGAAAUGGUAUGGUGAAGCGUCAAAUAUGGAAUAGACCAUUUCCGGAUUAUGGAUCGUAAGUAAACACCCGCAACACCAGAGGUGGGCCGGAUUUGAUACCGUUAUGUAAAUAUAUAAAAUAAGUAAUUGUACGCAACCCAACAUGAAAUAUGGCAUUGGAUUCGUCUAAUUCUGGCCUGGCCCACCUAGUAAGGCCCAUCGCGAGACAAGAUAAGGUUCUCGUUUAUUAUCUAUAAUUAAAGAUUCCCCUAAAAAAUCUAUAUAAUUAAAGAAGUUUGAAUCUUUUCUUUUUGCGGGGGAAAGAGGUUCUCACUUAUUGGCUUGUGCAGUUCAACCAGUUCUACAAAACCUUCAAGAAUAGUAUAGUUUGUGCAGAUUUGGUUGUAUGCAGUUUAUUCAUGUAAUCAUGAUGAAAAAUGAGAUGCAAAAGGUGAACCCCUCACGGGCGACUUUUGAAGAACCUUGAUGAAACUUAUGGUUUUAUCACAGAUCUAUGCCAUUUGUAUUUUUUAGUUCAUUUCACCGAAUGCAAUUUAUUUCACUGUUUUCUCAUGGAUCUUUGGCAUUUGUAUUUUCCAGUUCAUCUAUGUAAAUCAUGGUGGAAAAUGGGAUGCAAAAGGUGAACCUAUAGAAUACGACUUUCGAAGAACCUUGAAGCAACUUACGGUUUUAUCAAAGAUCUAUGUUGUUUGUAUUUUUUUAGUUAUUUCACAUAAUUUUAUUAAUUUCACGGAUAUAUGCCAUCUGUAUAUUAUUAUCUUAUCUAUGUAAAUCAUGAUCGUAAAUGAGAUGCAAAAGGUGAGCCUAUAGAGGAUGACUUUUGAAGAACCUUGAUGAAACUUAUGGUUUUGUCGCAUAUCUAGUUUAUUUCUAUUUGUGGCCUAAUGUAGUUUGUUUAGUUAAUCAUUAAAACUAAGAUACAAGCAGACAAUGUUUUUAUUCUGAAGAAACAGUAGUGGAGGUUAGAGAACAUGUCUAGCGAUACCGGCCUUUAACUAACAACACCAUUAUAUACAAAGAAAGAUUCUCCGACUUAAGGUGACUGGCAUAUGGGUCAGUUUGCCCUCGGGCCUACUUGUUAGCCACUAAAAAGUUUUUUCACUUCAGUUAGAGGAUCUCAGUCCAUCAUAUCCACCUCAAAAGGUCGUGCCAAUAAUAAUUUAAAAUUCUAGUAAAAAAUAUGCAUAGAGGAUUAUAUGACGAAAGGCCUUGCAAAUUGUAAACCAAAAUGGGGUGUAUAUCAAUAGAGAAAAAAUACAAAUACAUGUUACUGCAUCUUCUUAUUCCUUUUUUAUUUUGAAGUCCUUUUCAACAUGUUUUGUUUAUUUAUUCGCACAGUGGUAACUCGAUUUUGAAGCAAAAUUGUAGAUUGCUUCAGUGUCAAUCUUAUGGAAACCAAAGUUGUACGAAAGCCGCGAUAAGAAAUAUGGAUCGGAGGGAGUAGGAAUUUUCAUGACCAAUUGCCAUAGUUCUUUAGAGUGGUGUCAUGGUGUAAUAUAAAGGCUAGCAUCACUAGAUACCCUUCUCAAGGAGGUUGCUACAUGGCAUACGCAUUACAAAAGCACUUGUCCUUCACUUCUUACCCUUGUUAAAAACCUGGCUUACAAAUCAGUAAAUGGAAAAAAGAACGGAUUAGCGGCACAUGUAUUUGAGAGAUCGAUAGAAGAGGUCUCUAGAGGGGGGUGAGUAGACUACUAGCAUAAUUAAAAUCCUAGCCUUUUUGCAAUUUAAUGGUUGAUAGAUUUUAGCGAUUCCAACAAGUCUGAUGCACCCUAUACAUGCUAGUCAACAAAUGUGGUAGUGGAAAAGUAAAGACUUUACACAUGUAGUAAGGAGUAGAGUUUAGGAAGAUCAAACGUGAAGAAGUUGACCCGGUGAUUUUUUGCAUGGUUCCGAUAGGUGGCGCUACCGUUCGUCCAUGUUAGUGGAGACUGUUGGGGAACGUUGCAUGGAAAACAAAAAAAAUCCUACGCACAAACACGAUCUAUCUAUGGUGAUGACCAUCUACGAGAGGAGAGAUUGAAUCUACAUACCCUUGUAGAUUGCUAAGCGAAAGCAUUCAAGAAAGCGGUUGAUAUAGUGGUACGUCUUCGCGAUCCAAUCACGAACCGUCCCUCGAUCUCCCGAUCAAGUGUCGAACGGACGACACCUCCGCGUUGAACACAUGUGCAGCUUGGUGACGCCUUCACCUUCUCGAUCCAGCGAGCGAUGGUGAAGUGGCAGCCCGAGUCCUCUGGCAACACGACGGCGUGGUGAGGUGUUGGUGGUGAUAGCUCAACAGGGCUUCGUCGUGGGGGUGUUUGGAGAAUAGAAAUACGAGGGAGAGGAGGUGCAGCGCCGCACCAAGAUUGUCGUGUGGCUGCCCUCUCUCUACCUCUCUCUAUAUAGGGGGGAGGGAGAGGGGAGAGCACGGCCGGCGGCCAAGGGAGGGCCGGCGGCUAGGGAUGGGUGCCCCCCCCUCUUGGGUGCCUUGCCACCCAAGUUGGGUUGGCGGCGCCCCAAGGAGGAGCCCUCCUCCCCUUCGACCGAAGUGGGUUGGGGUGAGGGGCUGCGCCCAACCCCCUGGUGGGCUGCGGUGCCCCCUCUCCUUGGCCCAUGAGCCCCCCCAACAAUCGUUGGGGCCUCCCGAAACCCCUUUCGACACUCUAUUAUUCCCUCAGUACACCCCAGGAACACUUUCGGACUCCGAUGACCUUCAUCUUAUAUAUCAAUCUUCAUCUCCGGACUAUUCUGAAGUUCCUCGUCACGUCCGGGAUCUCAUCCGGGACUCCGAACAACCUUCGGUCACCAACACUAUGACUCAAUUAUGCUCAUAUCGUCAUCGAACCUUAAGUGUAUAGACCCUGCAGGUUCUAGAACUAUGCAGACAUGGUCGCGCUCUACCUGGCUGCGGAAAAACUGUCGACUCGAAAGUAGCUCGCAGGCGAGGCCUAAAACUGCUUUAAGUUUCGUGCAAACCGAAAUGUGGGUGCAGCCGAGGCAACCAAACAACGGGUUUUCAUCCCGCGAGGCCUGAUUGGCCCAAGUGCGAGCAACCAAACACCACCUGGGAGGCAACAUUCCUGGUUCUCUUUUUCGUCUUCAGCCACUCAUCAGUUAAAGAACUAAAAAAUGAUAUCCCCCAGUUGCGCUGAAAACUUCAGUUGCUACUCUUUCUAGUAGCUUUACCCCAACAUCAACUCCUUUUGCAUUUCGUGCAAUAUAGACUAAGAGUAACUUGGAGCACAUGCUUUGUGUAAAAUCAUAAAAGAGUCAAUUAGUCAAUUAACGAACCUUCCCAGACCUGUUGUCGACACCACCAUGGCUUCACACAAUGUCACCUCUCUACGGGCUUUCAUCACAUCCGUCACCGAGACUUCACAUUGUCGAUGUGUCACAUGAAACACCGGACCACUGCUGAAACCGUCCACUAGUCCCUCGAGCCAACGCACACCUACAAGGAUGACGUCCCCAAAGGGGGAACGAAACUUGAGCGCCGCGAUCAUCCGAUCAAUUGAUCAAGGGUUUCUCCCGGAGGUAGCAAAAGCAUGCGGGAGAUUCACCUUGAUGGUGCCUCCAAGACGGGAACGGUGGCAAGGUCUCACUAUCAUCAGUUUCGGCCAUCGAUCGAAGACAAGGUUUUCAUCCGGAGCUGAUUCUACAGGAAUUCAUACGAAGACAAGGUUGUACCUCGCCAAACCGCGAGAUCCUUGGACAGGGGCAUCUUCCUUUUUACUUAGUGCAAUAUCAGGAUAACAGAACAUAUAUCCUUAACAUUCAUUGUUAUCAUGUAUCAGCUCAAAGGGUUCUCCUAGUAUAAUCCCAGUCGAGUAAAAAGCACAAUGGUUUGCCAUAACCAACCAAUCCUCCCGUAUGAUAUUCAAGUAUGCGAUUUAAAUAUUUGUAAUGAUAUUGGUAGCGAAAUAUCCGAUGAUGAGUGACUACACAUUUUCCCAAAAGACAACCUUUCACUGGGUUGGUGGUUACCUUCAGUCGCACCCUCACUACAACGACAAUUGACGAAGAAACAACAUUGCGGAAAGUACAGUAUAAGCUUCUUCUAAUGCUUCAUCUUAUAUGUGUGCUAAAGCUGAUUGUAUUGGGGUAUCUCAGUUAGUAUCAUACACUCGUGACUAGCAAACACCGUGAUACACCGUGAUAUGACAAACAAAUAAAGAAGAGAGAGCGGGUUAUAGUAACAUAGGUAAUUUAUUUUUGCGGAGGAGUACUCCCUGAUAUGAGUAGUCAUGCAGACGAAAAAUAUGAUGUGACAAGGUAAUUAAGUGGAAAGAGAUGAGUGUGCUUAAUCUAGAAAGAAACAAUGUCAAACGCAUAAACUUAGGUAAAACACAUAAAUAAAAAAAGUUUACCAAUAUAUAAAGAACUUUAGUAGCUACAACAAGUUAGGAUCGGUUCUUUUGCUGGCUUUUAAAAUAAGCUGAAAUAAGAGCAUCUCCAACAACCUAUGUAUAUUGAAUUGCUAAAAACUUGUUAUAGCAAAAGAAGAGAGAAGGUUUACAAAGUCAAAAUAUUUUUUGCUUUGAUAGCCUUUGUAUACUGGAUUGUUAUAUUUGCACAAAACACAUAAUGGUACGUAGUGACAAUUUGUCAUAGACACAUUGCACACUAGCAUACGUACAUGUACAUGUAUACUAGCAUAACUCGUGUCUACGUACGCAUGCACACACGCGUACAGUUACACACAUGCAACACACACGUAUACAUGCAAUACACACAUACACACGUACACAUGCAACACACGCGUACACGUAUAGAAAACACGUACACGUACACACACAGUGCAUGCGCAACAUAUACACUAGUACGCAGAUCCAUCUGUCAUUAAGACAAAGUGAUGUUUGCUAAAAAACUACAAAGUGACCUUUGGCUUGGCAAUUAUGUAAAGUGUGGGUACAAAUAUAACAAGCUUAAAAAAAAUUGAUGAGGAACCACUUAUAUAAAGGUUGUUAUAGUUUUGGUCAAGAUUUAUAAAAUAGCAAGUGAGUGCAAGUAUAGAAAGGUUGUUGGAGAUGCUCUAAGCCGAAUCAAAUCAAGAUUAAUUAGUAAACUUUUAAAUUAAUAUUUUUUGUUGACCUUCUAGAAUAAGCUAUGUGAGGUAUAGCUUAUCGUAGAAGCUUAAAAAAAGCCAUAUCGUAGAAGCUUAAAAAAAGCCAUAAAAAGAACGGGCACUUAAGCACCUAUGUAAGUUAUAGUUGUUAAACUUUUUAAUGUGAUUGGCAUCUCAUCUUAAUACAGAUGCAUUGGAAGUGGCUUUAAAGAGAUCAACCCUGGCAAAAUCAAGCCUAUUUGAUCAGAGAAAUUGGGCACGGCAAAGACGAUGAACAAGCAAGCUCCAAUGGCAAUGGGGACAGCACACGUACGAGAAAGGUGGAAGAUAGGUGAGCCCAUUGAUUAGAUGGAAGAAAAAUAGACAAUGCAGGUCACAGAGUAGCACAGUACAGGUCCCAGUACCAAGAAAACACAGUCGAGUUACAUCAAAGUUCAGACCUUAGAAUCAUGGUCCCUCCCCACUCUCUCCAACACCCUCUUCUUCCUCGCAGCAAAACCGACUCAAUCGCAAGGCAACACACGCAAACACCAUUGCCACACAUCGCACACGGUUUUAUUUGGACACAGCAACAUUAUUCGCUAGCAGCAGCAGGAGGACUACGACGACGACGACGGACGGACGGACACGACGACUACGACGACUCGGGGGGGCUUGUCCCCGGACUGAUCCAUGGCGAUGUGUCGAUGGCAAUGCAGCAGAUCUCCUGGUACAGCAUC